rnacentral:lncRNA from 1 species
CAGGAGCUCGGGAAGCUGCUGGCCGGCGUCACCAUCGCCUACGGAGGUGUCCUGCCCAACAUCAACCCCGUGCUGCUUCCCAAGAAGCCCGCCGCGGCGGCUGCCAAGGAGCCCAAGGCGGGCACCACCAAGUCUCCCAGGAAGUCCCCCGCCAAGAAGGCGGCCGCCGCUUAGGCCCGGCACUCGCUAUGCCGGUGCCCCAUCUCACCCUCUCCUCCCUCUUCUCUGUUUCUCUGUCUGUCUGGGUUGAACCGUAACGCACCAAGUUGUCGUCGUCGUCGUUGCUGCAUGCCGUCGUUGCCAUGGAUCGAUUGCUGCUUGUUUGUACUUAUUUUGCGUGGCUUCCGCAUAGGUGCCAAUCAGCUUAUACUCUGUAACCUGAUUAACACCGCUGUAUGUUCGUAUAAGUUCGUAGGUCAAGGGAGAGAGGGAGGGGAAGGGAAACUGUGAAUGCCUCUUUGUAAUAAAAUUGUGAAGAUGUGAAAAAUAUCAAGGACUGAUUGUCGUCUCUCUUUUGCUGCACGCUAAGACCGAUUUCUUGAGUUUAUCUGGUUGCUUUGGGCAUGUUUUGCUUGUUUGCACCCUUAGAGCACCUCCAACGUGCCGAUCUGGUUUGCGGUGCGCCAAUCAUCACGUUUGGCGUGGCGUUUGCAGCGUGACCAUGCGUUGGCUUCCGCAGUCGCGUUAAAAUGCACAGCGCGCGAGCAGCAUGCGCUCACAUUUGUUCAUUUUUAAUACAAAUUUCAUACAUCAACACAAAACACAUGUCAUAUAAUUUGCGUUCAUCGUCACGUUUGGCGCGGUGCGCCGCGCUGUGAUAAUUCGCGUCCAUCGUCACGUUUGGCGCGGUGCGCCGCGCUAAAAUGCACAGCGCGUGAGCAGCAGGCGCUCACAUUUGUUUAUUUUGGAUACAAAUUUCAUACAUCAACCCAAAACACAUGUCAUAUAAUUUGAAUCACAAACAUCAUUCAACCAAGUUCGCUGCUCACAUUUGUUCAUUUUGGACACAAAUUUCACACAUCAACACAAUUUCACACAUCAACACAAAGCACAUGUCAUAUAAUUUGAAUCACAAACAUCAUUCAACUAAGUUCGUGCCCAAAAGUUCAUGCCCACAAGUUUAAAUUCAUGCACACAACANNNNNNNNNNNNNNNNNNNNNNNNNNNNNNNNNNNNNNNNNNNNNNNNNNNNNNNNNNNNNNNNNNNNNNNNNNNNNNNNNNNNNNNNNNNNNNNNNNNNCGAAACCUCCAUUUAGGGUGGGUGCCCGAGCUUUCUGCCUCGCCUCCCCCUAUCGCGACCUUAUGAGCCGACGAAGCCUGCAUUUAGGGUGGAGGCACGAGCUUUUUGCCUCGCCUCCCCCUAUCGCGACCUUAUGAGCCGACGAAACCUGCAUUUAGGGUGGGUGCACGAGCUUUCUGACUCGCCUCCCCCUGUCGCAACCUUAUGAGCCGACAAAACCUGCAUUUAGGGUGGGUGCACGAGCUUUUUGACUCGCCUCCCCCUAUCGCGACCUUAUGAGCCGACGAAACCUGCAUUUAGGGUGGGUGCACGAGCUUUCUGACUUGCCUCCCCCUGUCGCGACCUUAUGAGCCGACGAAACCUGCAUUUAGGGUGGGUGCAUGAGCUUUCUGACUCGCCUCCCCCUGUCACGACCUUAUGAGCCGACGAAACCUGCAUUUAGGGUGGGUGCACGAGCUUUCUGACUCGCCUCCCCCUGUCGCGACCUUAUGAGCCGACGAAACCUGCAUUUAGGGUGGGGUCACGAGCUUUCUGACUCGCCUACCCCCUGUCGCGACCUUAUGAGCCGACGAAAUUACUGCUGCUAUUUUUCGUUGUGGCAUAGCCCUCAAGGUUUUAAGCCUUUUCUUUCUGAUGCUUGUUGAAAAUAUCUAUUGUUUGUUUGUUUUCACAUAUGCUUUUCUCAAGGCUUAAGACAGGAGGGUGAUAAGAAUUGUUUCAUCCAUGGUGAAUUAAGCGCUAUAAAAGACUCUUAUAAAAGGCGGGUCAAAUAUUUCAAACCGCCUUAAGGACGAUAUAAAGGUUCUUGCAAGAGGUAUCAUCAAAAAUAGUACUGACUUACGGAAAAGGGACCUAUUACAUGGCUCUCAGGCCAAACUCAAUAAAAUUUACUUUGCUGGCGCCUCGGGAUCAUCCUGAUGUGAGCUCUGGCCGACUUCGAUUUGUAAGUCGCCCAAUACCCAAUUGCACUUGGCCAAAGCAGCAAAGUCAUCUUCAUCAGUCAGAAUUGAUGCCAGGUCUGCUUCCAAGUCUAAAGGAUUCUUGGGUCGCCUAGGAGUUAGACUGGUCGUCACGAAGGUUGGCGGGCUGACCUUCUUGUUUCUGCUAUCAUAAGCCGCCUGGUAUUUUAUUAAGUCAAGGCUUGCGGCAAGUUGAGUCGCAGCCAGCCGAGAGUCCGUGACGACUUGCUCAUAGUCCUCUUCAACAAAUUCGGACCCAUCGUCCUUGAGCUGAGGAAAGCCUGCGGCUACUUCUUCUACGUUGAUUUCUGGGGCAUAUGCCAAACAGCGACUCAGGGCAGUCAGAAUACCUCUCCGGGCGGCUGACCGAGUUAACUCGCCAAUCUGAGGGGGAAGUGUGGAUAAGCAGCCAAUCACCUUCUUGAUGGAAGUCAUAGGUUCUUUGGCACCCAUCACAGCUUUAACUGUCAAGACACUGCCUGUGUACAAUUGCUCUGUCAGCGUGUAAAUCGCCUUCAGCAUCAACACACAGUCUUCUUGAAGGUUGGCGGCUCUUGGACCUGAAUCAUGAUGAUUAGCGACUUAUCAUAAGUAAACCAAAAAAGAGAGGAGGAGAUCAAAGGUUUAAGUAAAGCUUACCAAAGACGGCUUGCGUCAUGUUGGAGAUAUGACGCUUUAAGCCGGACAAUUCCUCUUGUACAGUGGCCAGCCUAGCUUCAGCUUUCUCUACCCUCUUCAAGGCGGCAUUUUGUUCAGCCUGAGCUUCUUUCAACUUGGCCUUGAGUUUUACGAGUUCGGCCAAGGCCAAUUGACAUUUUUCCUCCGACUUAGUUCGGGCGUCUUGUUGUCUAGCUAAGUUUUUCUUUAAAUCGCCCAGCGCCGAUUCGGUCUGAGCAAGGUUUUCCUAUUGAAAGUUUAAAUUAAGGGCAAGUCUCAGAAUUACUGCAAAGCAAUAUCCCUGACACUUGGGGGCUAAUGUAUAAUUUUUUCACGUGAAAUUAUACAAAAACCAAGACCCGGUUCAUCUUUUUACUGAUGACCCGACCCUUGGGGGUUACUGGUCGCGAAGUUUUUUCUAAAUUUUCAAGACCCGACUCAUCUUUUUACUGAUGACCCGGCCCUUGGGGGUUACUGGUCGCGAAGUUUUCUCUAAAUUUUCAAGACCCGGCUCAUCUUUUUACUGAUGACCCGGCCCUUGGGGGUUAAUGGGAAUAAUAUAGGUAUAACAAAAUUUACCUCAUGUUUGUUGUUUAACAUCUUCAGCACGUUUUUCUCCAUCUCAUAGCUCGCCUCCAGGCAACUUGCAAAGCCAGAGCAGAGUUCCUUAAACUCCAAAUUUGCAUAGUCGGAAAGUUUCGCCUUGGAAAGCCCAGACUCGGGAAUGGCCUGAGAGGAGGAUGCUACAUGUUUGGACAAAACCAUCACCGCCGGCUUAGAAAAGCCAGAGCCAGUAAUAACUACAGCAUCUGGGUCUUCUGUUGUCAUCAAUGGGUUCGGCGACUUAGAGGCAUCCAUUGUUUCCUUCGGCGACUCAGGAAGAUCCACUUGAAUCGUAGGCUCAGUCUGAUCCGGAUUGUCUUGAGUCGGAGUUGAUUCUUUCGUGGGUUCUGAAGUUGCAUCAGGAGUUGAUCCACUGGUUUUUCUCUUCUUGGCUUGUGCCCUGACAAAAGGGAAUAAGCACGUUAAGGAAUUGAAAAGAUCGUUAUUCUCAAAAGUCGAGGCAAGGUUAUCAAAAGACUUACCCCGGAACUCGAAUCAUUGGUGGAACUGUUGACAUCACUGAGUCGCCGGAAGUGGGAGGAGAGUUCUGCAAGAAUUAUACGUCAAUAAUACAGGCGGGUUACAAAUGUGAUCCAAAGAAACAUGAAUAAUGGUUACUCAUAAAAGUACCUCGCUUGGCUUUCUUUUGUUCGUUGCUGGUAAGCCAGAUACCAGAUCGCCAGAGUGACUUCGUGUUUUCCGGUUUGAGGCGUGCUGCGCUUUCUUCAGUAGCAAAUUUGGGUCCAAAUAAGCAUUUGGAUGUGAGAAGGGAACUUUCCCACAAAUUCGCCUGGCCGGCUUAGGUGGAGAAGGAGAUGAAUCGGAGGAAACAGAAAUUACCUCAACGGAGUCCUCUUGGCUUUCGUUAUCUUCAUUCUAUUUCCAGGCAAGGGAGAGAUAUAAAUACAAAGGCUAACAGUAAUAGGUGGCGAGUGAAAAGAACGAUUUUUACCUCCGAAAGUGCAUCACCGACUUGAGAUUCGUCAACUUCGGAUGGUUCGGCUGCAGCAGAUUUGCCCUUACCCUUGGUUUUCUUUGAGGGCGGCUUGACAUUUUUCACGGCUUGCUUUUUGGGCCGCCUGGACCAGAACUUAUCGCCUUUCUGAAAUGGCAUAUAUUAUGAAAUCACAAUACAAAUGAAGCAUAAAGAAUAAAGACCAAAGGAGGGUUAGGUUUGUUUACCUUGGGCGCCGGGUUAAUUUUGCAGAAAGGCUUAAGGCCGAUUUCGCCGCAUUUUCCCGCAGGCUCGCCAGUCAGCUUUUUUAUAAUGGUAACAAUAUCCUUUUCCGUUAAAGCUGUGCAGAAAUAGCAUUGAGGAUGAUCCAGGGUGCCAUCAAAAUCACACAUCAGACCAUCCCGGCGGCUCAGAGGGAGGAUACGCCAUUCAACCCAACAGCGGAUUAGGUCGACCCCGGUAAGACCGUUGUUCGUCAAAGAUCUUAAUUCAGAUAGUAUUGGGAUGAAUUCCGAUUCUUCCUCCUCGGUAAGCUUGUCUGGAAGCUUGAAGUUGGUCGGAAGGCGAGUUGGCCUAUAACCCAGAAGCUUGUUCUCACCAGCAGGAGACGUCUCUUGACGGUAAAACCAAGACUUGCCCCAGCCUUUGGGAUGGCUAGGCAUGGUGAGUGAGGGAAAUGGGCUAUCCCUGCGGCGCUGGACAUUGACACCACCAAGUUCCAAGCUGGGGCCGUUAUGGAAUUCUGUUUGGCGAUUCAGAUGGAAGAAGUGCCAGAAUAAGGGGACAGAAGGCUCGAUCCGCAGAUAAGCCUCAGAGAGAACUUGGAAUUGGCACAAAUUACUUAUGGAAUUGGGUCCCAGAUCCUGGAGACGGACGUUCAUGAAAGUUAAGGCGUCUCUAAGAAACUUUGAUCCGGGCGGCUUAAAACCUCGCUCCAGGUGUUCAACAAAAACAAUUAUCUCCCCUUCUUUGGGGUUAGGGAGAUCUUCUCCGAACCCGGUGCGCGAGCCAAUAACGUCCUGAGGAUCCAAACUGCCCGUUUUCACAUAAUCGGCUAAUAUGGAGUCGUCGACCUUGGUAGGAAGCCAGUCACUCUUGAAGACGGCGCCAAUGCUACAAAUAAGUAAAGUAUGAUAUUACAUGCCUUGGACACCUGCUGUAUGGGAUGAAAUCGGUUCAUUUAAACCCGCCAAGUACUUUGAUUAAGGAAGGGUUUUGACCCGCCAGAUCUAAGGGCCGAGUUGGGUCACUAUGGCGACUUAUGGAAGUGUGGCUAUUCCCAAGGGUUACGUUCUGAAGAUGGUAAAGGCAUUUCAUUUGAAGUACCAGGAGAUGAAGACUAUAAACAACUUUUUGCAAACAGUAAAACAAGGAAUGGAUCUACCAGACAAACGCGAAAACCUAGAGAAAAUGACUGGUCGCGACAGUUUAUUAUCAGAUGAUGCCCAUCGCUUGUUGAAAACAUUAUUUUCAAAGAUUCACGAGUACAGCGGAUCGGUAAAAAUAUUCGGAACAUUAGCUAUCCUAUCGACACUCGUGCUAAUCGACUCAGAGCAGAUAGCGUCUGUGCACAAGGAGCUUCAAGAACACGGUAAUGGCGGAAGUUCAAGCGGAAAGUAAAUCUACUCCUAAAGAUAGGUGGAAGCCUAACCUGAUAUUGUCGGGUGAGAAGAGCCGACGGUGAUGGGGUUUGCCGGAGAAGCACGGGCGUCCCGUCGAGCGAAGAGGUUUCCGGCGGCGGCGAAGUUCGUGAUGAAUGGUGAGGUGUCCGAUGGCGAUGCAGUCGACGAUGACGAUGGCGGAUGUGCUGGUUGCAACACGAGAAUGGACGACGGCAAAAGCCCACAGGCGGUACCGAAGCUCCUCGCGUGAAGGCCGAAAGCACGGUCGGCGGUGGAUUCCUCGGGGAUGCGUUUUCUCGCUGCGCCGGUGGGGAGGAAGGUGACAGGACUGGUAGGUGGGAAACGCGAGUUCUGUCCCCCCCGGGCCUAUUUAUCAAGGCAAGUGCUGGAAUCGAGGCGUCAUGAGCGGGAACCGCCGGGGGAUAAAAGAUUCGCUAUAAAUGUGCGCCGAAAAUUUCGGGAUAACAAUGCGCUAAAGAUCCGUUGGAGUUGUGGCGGUCUUCCCGAAAAUAAAAGAGGAAUAAGAAAGGGCCAGUUAGUAAUGAUCUCGCGACUUAAGGGAGUGUCGGUACCCAAAGGCGAUGGCGGGUGUGCAGUUUUUUUUUUGACAGAUGAAGAAAAAUAGGGGAUGAAUCGCCUUCAAUGGAACGGAGGUAUUGGCGUGAAGAAGAAAGGUUCAAGUCAAUUUGGGGCCUAAUGUUGGGGAUGUAACCUGUGGAUGACCCGCCCUAGUUGGGCCGGGUUAUCCAUUGGGCGACUCAUCUAAGUGUUUAGUUGGCCCUCGUUUUGUCCGAGUCAAGGUCGCAUGACGAGUAUGGCUCUUGGCGGGUCUCCCAGCUUUGGAAUAUGGCGAUUUAGAGAUCGCAAUGGUCACGAGUUGUAAAAAGGAAGGAAUCCUUGUAAAACCCUACGGAGUCGACCUGUAUAUAAUGGCGAGGUUCUCGGGGACAGAGGACAAGUUAGAAAUCAUCGAGUGCUAGGUUUAGGCGAGUUAUGCCUUCCUUGUAAUCGAAUCCAUAUCAAUACACACAAAAGCAGGACGUAGGCUAUUACCUCCUCUCGAGGGGCCGAACCUGGGUAAAUCGCCGUGUCUCUCCUGCUUAACCUCUUUGAGUCGCCACCAAGGUGCGAUGGCUCCAGUAUCAAGUCCUUUCACGAGGACAUCUGCCGUGAAAAAACCACAACAAUGAGGGUAUUGGAUACCGGUUCGGUUGCUAAGUGAUGAGUAACACGAAAUGAAAGCUACGGCAUAAACAGAGACUAGUUAAAGGCGAGGUGACGAUACGUGUUGGAAGUGUUUCCAAGGUUGAUAUGAUCAAACGUCGCACGCUCCCUCUACCACCGGGAUUGGUGUUAAACCUAAAUAAUUGUUAUUUGGUGUUUGUGUUAAGCAUGAACAUGAUUGGAUCGUGUUUAUUGCAAUACGAUUAUUCAUUUAAAGAGAAUAAUGGUUACUCUAUUUUCUUGAAUAAUCACCUUCAAUGGUUUAUUGAAUCUCGAUCGUAGUGUUACACAUGUUCAUGAUAUUGGUGCCAAAAGAUACGAGGUAAUGAUGAUAGUACCACUUACUUGUGGCACUGCCGCUUGAGUCAUGUUGGUAUAAAUUGCAUGAAGAGGCUCCAUGCUGAUGGAUCUUUAUACUCACUUGAUUUUGAAUCACUAGUGACAUGCAAAUCAUACCACAUGAGCAAGGCCUUGUUUUCAUUGAGAUGAAACAAGAUAGUAACUUGUUGGAAGUGAUACAUUUUGAUGUAUGCAGUCCAAUGGGUGCUGAGGCACGCAGUGGAUAUCAUUAUGUUCUUACUUCAAUGAAGAUUUGAGCAGAUACAAGAGUAUUUGCUUAAUGAAUCACAAGUCUGAAAUAUUGAAAAGUUCAAUUCUGUUUCAGAGUGAAGUUCAUCGUAACAAAAGGAUAAACUGUCUAUGAUAUGAUCACAGAAAUGAACAUCUGAGUUACGAGUUUUGGUACGCAGUUAAGAAAAUGUGGAAAUUGUUUUGCAGUUCAUGCCACUUGGAACAUCAUAGUGUGAUGAUGUGUUUGAACAUCAUAGCCACGCACUAUUUGGUAUGGUGCAUACUAUGAUGUCUCUUAUCGAAAUACCACUAUCGUUUACGGGUUAUGCAUUAGAGACAAACGCAUUCACUUUAAAAUAGGGCACCGCGUAUUUCCGUUGAGAUGACACAGUAUAGACUGAGGUUUAGAGAAAUCUAAACUGUCGUUUCUUGAAAGUUUGGGGCUUCGACACUUAUGUGAAAAGGUUUCAGUCUGAUAAGCUCGAACCCAAAACGGAUAAAUGCAUCUUCAUAGGAUAUCCAAAAUAGUUGGGUACAUCUCCUAUCUCAGAUCCGAAAGCAAAGUGUUUGUUUCUAGAAACGGAUCCUUUCUCGAGAAAGGUUUCUCUCGAAAGAAUUGAGUAGGAGGGUGGUAGAACUUGAUGAGGUUAUUGAACCAUCACUUCGACCAGUGUGUAGACUUUGGAAGAACAACUUGAUGGUCAUAGGACUAUUGAGUAAAGAUGGAUCUUUAAAAGGAAGACAGACGAUGAUAGUGAUAAGUCACUAUUAAGAAAAGCUCGACUUGUCGCAAAGAUGUUUCUGACAAGAUCAAACAGUUGACUAUGAUGAGACUUUCUCACUCGUAGCGAUGCUAAAAGUCUGUUGGAAUUAUGUUAGUAGUUGCUGCAUUAUUUAUGAAAUAUUGCACAUAGGAUGUCAAAACAUUGUUUCCUCAAGUUUCCUUGAGCAAACAUUGUAUGUGAUACAACCAGAAGGUUUUGUCGAUCCUAAAGAUACUAACAAGUAUGCAAGCUCCAGUGAUCCUUCAAUGGACUGGUGCAAGCAUCUCGGAGUUGGAAUAUACACUUUGAUGAGGUGAUCAAAGAUUUUGGGUUUGUACAAGGUUUAUGAGAAACUUGUAUUCCAAAGAAGUGAGUGGGAGCACUAUAGAAUUUCUGAUAAGUAUAUGUGGUUGAGGAUCAGAAGUAAUGUAGAAUUUCUGUAAAGCAUACAAGGUUGUUUGAAAGGUUUUUCAAAGGAAUACCUGGAUUGAGCUACUUGAACAUUGAGCAUCAAGAUCUAUGGAGAUAGAUCAAAACGCUUAAUAGAAGUUUCAACAAAAUGCAUGCCUUGACAAGUUUUGAAGGAGUUCAAAAUAGAUCAGCAAAGAAGGAGUUCUUGGUUGCGUUGUGAGGUGUGAAUUUGAGUAAGACUCGAAACCCGACCACGGCAGAAUAAAGAGAAUAGACGAAGGUCGUCUUCUGUGCCUUAGCCGUAGACUCUAAAGUAUGCCAUGCUGAGUACCGCACCUGAUGUGUGCCUUGCACUCUGUUGAGUGGUACAGAGAGUGAUCCAUGAUUGAAUCACUAGCAGCGGUCAAAAUUUAUCCUUAGUAACUGAUAGACUAAGGACUUUUUCUCGAUUAUGGAGGUGGUUAAAGGGUUACGUCGAUGCAAGCUUUGACACCAAUCCGAAUAACUAUGAGUAGUGAAACGGAUUCAUAUAGUAGAGUAGAUAUUUGGAGUAUUUCCGAAUAGCACAUAGUAGCAGCAUCUAUAAGAUGACAUAAAGAUUUGUAAAGAACACACGGACCUGAAAGUUUCAGAACCGUUGACUAAAACCUCUCUCACGAGCAAGACGUGAUCAGACCCCAUAAAUAUAUGGGUGUUAGAUUCGUUGGAAUCACAUGGUGAUGUGAACUAGAUUAUUGACUCUAGUGCAAGUGGGAGACUGUUGGAAAUAUGCCCUAGAGGCAAUAAUAAAUUAGUUAAUAUUAUAUUUCUUAGUUCAUGAUAAUCGUUUAUUAUCCAUGCUAUAAUUGUAUUGAAUGAAGACUUAUAUACAUGUGUGGAUACAUAGACAAAACACUUUCCCUAGCAAGCCUCUAGUUGGCUAGCCAGUUGAUCAACGAUAGUCAGGGUCUUCUGAUUAUGAACAAGGUGUUGUUGAUUGACAACUGGAUCACGUCAUUAGGAGAAUCACGUGAUGGACUAGACCCAAACUAAUAGAAGUAGCAUGUUGAUCGUGUCAUUUUGUUGCUACUGUUUUCUGCGUGUCAAGUAUUUGUUCCUAUGACCAUGAGAUCAUAUAACUCACUGACACCGGAGGAAUGCUUUGUGUGUAUCAAACGUCGCAACGUAACUGGGUGACUAUAAAGAUGCUCUACAGGUAUCUCCGAAGGUGUUAGUUGAGUUAGUAUGGACGAGACUGGGAUUUGUCACUCCAUCUGACGGAGAGGUAUCUCGGGGCCCACUCGGUAAUACAACAUCACACACAAGCCUUGCAAGCAAUGUGACUUAGUGUAAGUUGCGGGAUCUUGUAUUACGGAACGAGUAAAGAGACUUGCCGGUAAACGAGAUUGAAAUAGGUAUGCGGAUACUGACGAUCGAAUCUCGGGCAAGUAACAUACCGAAGGACAAAGGGAAUGACAUACGGGAUUAUAUGAAUCCUUGGCACUGAGGUUCAAACGAUAAGAUCUUCGUAGAAUAUGUAGGAUCCAAUAUGGGCAUCCAGGUCCCGCUAUUGGAUAUUGACCGAGGAGUCUCUCGGGUCAUGUCUACAUAGUUCUCGAACCCGCAGGGUCUGCACACUUAAGGUUCGACGUUGUUUUAUGCGUAUUUGAGUUAUAUGGUUGGUUACCGAAUGUUGUUCGGAGUCCCGGAUGAGAUCACGGACGUCACGAGGGUUUCCGGAAUGGUCCGGAAACGAAGAUUGAUAUAUAGGAUGACCUCAUUUGAUUACCGGAAGGUUUUCGGAGUUACCGGGAAUGUACCGGGAAUGACGAAUGGGUUCCGGGAGUUCACCGGGGGGGCAACCCACCCCGGGGAAGCCCAUAGGCAUUGGGGGUGGCGCACCAGCCCUUAGUGGGCUGGUGGGACAGCCCAAAAGAGCCCUAUGCGCCAUAGGAAGAAAAAUCAAAGAGAAAAAAAAAGAGGAGGUGGGAAAAGGGGGGAGGACUCCUCCUUCCAAACCUAGUUGGACUCGGUUUGGAAGGGGAGAACUCCCCCCCCUUUCCUCGGCCGAAGCCCUUAGGGGUCCUUGGAACCCAAGGCAAGGCUCCCCCUCUUCCCCCUAUAUAUACGGAGGUUUUAGGGCUGAUUUGACACAACUUUGCCAUGGCAGCCCGACCACAUAUCUCCACGGUUUUACCUCUAGAUCGCGUUUCUACGGAGCUCGGGCGGAGCCCCGCUGAGACGAGAUCAUCACCAACCUCCGGAGCGCCGUCACGCUGCCGGAGAACUCUUCUACCUCUCCAUCUCUCUUGCUGGAUCAAGAAGGCCGAGAUCAUCGUCGAGCUGUACGUGUGCUGUACGUGGAGGUGCCGUCCGUUAGGCACUAGAUCGUGGGACUGAUCGCGGGACGGUUCGCGGGGCGGAUCGAGGGACGUGAGGACGUUCCACUACAUCAACCGCGUUCACUAACGCUUCUGCUGUACGGUCUACAAGGGUACGUAGAUCACACAUCCCCUCUCGUAGAUGGACAUCACCAUGAUAGGUCUUCGUGCGCGUAGGAAAUUUUUUGUUUCCCAUGCGACGUUCCCCAACAAUAACACUAACACCGGCUCCAAGGUCGCAUAAAGCAGUUCUAACGUAGUUUCCUUUAAUGGAGCAAGGUAUAGUGGGCACUCCAGGAUCACCUAGUUUCUUAGGAGUUCCACCCUUGAAGGUAUAGUUAGCAAGCAUGGUGGAAAUCUCUACCUCGGGUAUCCUUCUCUUAUUAGUCACAAUAUCCUUCAUGUACUUAGCAUACAGAGACAUUUUGAGCAUAUCUAUCAAACGCAUUUGCAGAAAGACAGGUCUAAUCAUGUCAACAAAUCGCUCAAAAUCCUCAUCAUCCUUUUUAUUGGAUGGUUUGGGAGGAAAGGGCAUGGGUUUCUGAACCCAUGGUUCUCUUUCUUUACCAUGCUUCCUAGCAGCGAAAUCGUUCUUAUAGUAUCUCUUAUUCUUAGGAUGUGGGUUAUCAAGAUCAAUAGGUUCAAUCUCCACAUCCUUAUUGUUGCUAGGUUGAGCAUCAACAUGAACAUCACUAUUGAUAUUAUCAUUAGGCUCAUGUUCAUCACCAGAUUGUGUUUCAGCAUCAGAAACAGAGACAUCGUUUGGAUUCUCAGGUGUAACAGGGUUGCUAGCGUGCAAGUUCCUAUCAUCUUUCUUUUUCUUUCUAGGAUGACUAGGUGCAUCAGUGCUAACUCCUUGAGAAUCUUGUUCAAUUCUCUUAGGAUGACCCUCAGGAUACAAAGGUUCCUGGGUCAUUCUACCGCCUCUAGUGACGACUCUGACAGAAUUGUCAUUCAACUCAUUGAGCAAGUCAUUUUGAGCCUUAAGUACUUGUUCUACUUGAGUGGUGACCAUAGAGGCAUGUUUACUCAACAGCUUAAGAUCAUUAACGUUUCUGUCUACACAAGCACUUAAAUGACUAAGCAUAUGAGCAUUAUGUUCCAAUUGUCUGCUAACAUAAUCAUUGAAACUCUGUUGUUUGGCAACAAAGUUAUCAAAUUCAUGGAGACGUAAGCUAGCAGGUUUAUCAAAAAUAAUAUCACUCUCAUUGAAUCUACGAAGAGAAUUUACUUCUACUACCUGUAUCGGGUUAUCAAGACCAUGGAUAUCUUCAAUAGGUGGUAGAUUUUUGACAUCUUCAUAUUUAAUGCCUUUCUCAUUCAUAGAUUUCUUAGCUUCUUGCAUAUCUUCAGGACUGAGGACUAGGAUACCUCUUUUCUUCGGAGUUGGCUUCGGAGGUGGUUCAGGAAUAGUCCAAGCAUUCUCAUUGCACAAGAUAUUAUUCAAUAGGAUCUCAGCUUGUUCCAUAGUUCGUUCCAUAAAAACACAACCGGCACAACCAGGAGCAAGAGAAGUAGUAGAUCAUGUCCUGGGGACUACGCACACAACCAGGAGCAAGAGAAGUGAACCAAGUCUUAGCAUCAUCCUUUAGCGAGAAAGGAAACACCUUAAGGAUAUAGUAGUGGCGAAUCUUUUCCUCACUCGUGAAUAGGGUGGCUAUAUCGUGCAGUUUGGUAAGAUGUGCUACAACCGUUUUAGACUCAUAACCGUGAAAAGGAUCAGAUUCGACCAGAGUGAUUAACUCAGGGUUGACAGAGAAUUCAUAAUCCUUAUCGGUCACAAAGAUUGGCGAAGUAGCAAACUUCGGGUCGUAUUUCAUCCUAGCGUUCAAAGAUUUUUCUUUCCACUUGCGCAGUAAAUUCUCAACAUCAUAGCUAUCCUUACAAGCAAGAAAGUCCUCAGCUAUCUCUCCCUCCAUAACAUAACCCUCACGCAUAUCAGGCAAUUCAUAUAUAGGAGAGCUAGUUCUAACAGGCGAAAUGGCAGGUUCUACUUCAAUAAUCUCAGCAGUUUCAGAAGUAUCAUCACAUCUAGCAGCAACUCUAGCAAUUUGCGCAUCUAGGAAUGCAGCUAGUGGCAAAGUAGUAUUAAGCAAAGCAUCAUCACAAGCAUCAUGGGCAACAGAAGUAGCAUCAUCAAGCACAGGCGACAUAUCAAAAUUUCUAGUAGGAGGUGGUGUCGCAAACUUACUCAUAACUGAAGGUGAAUCAAGUGCAGAGCUAGAUGGCAGUUCCUCACCUGUCCUCGUAGUUGAGGGCAAGACUUUAGUUCUUGGAUCUUUCGUAUUCCUCAUAGUGAUCAGCAGACAUAAAUACCAAGUGACUCAGAGAAUAUAGCUAUGCCUCCCCGGCAACGGCGCCAGAAAAAAGUAUAGGGGAUCGCGACAAUUUUCGAGGGUAGAGUAUUCAACCCAAAUUUAUUGAUUCGACACAAGGGGAAGCCAAAGAAUAUUCUCGAGUAUUAGCAGUUGAGUUUUCAAUUCAACCACACCUGAAAGACUUAGUAUCUGCAGCAAAGUAUCAGUAGCAGAGUAAUAUGAUAGCAAAGUAGCAACGGUAACCAGUAGCAAUAGUGACAACAGUAGUGACAGAGUAACAGUAGCAGCAGUGAUAGCACUAGCAGCAAAGUAACAUAGCAAGGACCAGUAGGAAAAACUCGUAGGAAUUGGAUCGGUGAUGGAUAAUUAUGCCGGAUGGUAUUCAUCAUGCAACAGUUAUAACGCGGAGAGAUAAGUAACUAGCUCCAGUUCGUCAAUGUAAUGUAGGCAUGUAUUCCGUAUGUAGUCAUACGUGCUUAGGGAAAAGAACUUGCAUGGCAUCUAUUGUCCAUCCCUCCUGUGGCAGCGGGGCCCUAAUGGAAACUACGGGAUAUUAAGGUUCUCCUUUUAAUAGAGAACCGGACCAACGCAUUAACACUUAGUGAAUACAUGAACUCCUCAUACUAUGGUCAUCUCCGGGAGUGGUUCCCGCUAUUGUCACUCCAGGGUUGCCGGGUCAUAACACAUAGUAGGUGACUACAACUUGCAAGAUAGGAUCAAGCACACACAUAUAUUGACGAGAACAUAAUAGGUUCAGAUCUGAAAUCAUGGCACACGGGCCCUAGUGACAAGCAUUAAGCAUGGCAAAGUGGUAGCAACAUCAAUAUCAGAACAUAGUGGAUACUAGGGAUCAAUCCCCGUCAAAACUAACUCGAUUACAUGAUAGAUCUCAUCCAACCCAACACCGUCCAGCAAGCCUACGAUGAGAUUACUCACGAACGGUGAAGAGCAUCAUGGAAUUGACGAUGAAGGAAGGUUGGUGAUGACGAUGGCGACGAUCUCCCCUCUCCGGAUCCCAGAACAGACUCCACAUCUGCCCUCUAGAGGAAGAACAGGAGGUGGCGGCGCCUCCGUAUCGUAAAACGUGAUGAAUUCUCCUCCUUUAUUUUUUUCGGAUGAAAGGGACUAAACAGAGCUGGAAUUGGAGGCGGUGGAGCUCCGUGGGCCCCACAAGUCUGCUAGGCGCGGCCAGGGGGCACGUCUAGUGGGCUUGUGCGCUCCACGCUCCACUUCUUCGGUUGAUUCUUGCACCAGUAUUUUUUAUAUAUUCCACAAAAAAUCCUCGUAAAUUUCCAAGUCAUUCCAAGAACUUUUAUUUCUACGCAAAAACAACACCAUGGCAAUUCUGCUGAAAACAGCGUUAGUCCGGGUUAGGUCCAUUCAAAUCAUGCAAAUCAGAGUCCAAAACAAGGGAAAAAGAGUUUGGAAAAGUAGAUACGACGGACACGUAUCAGUUGACCGUUCACCCAUUGACGUCGAGAGUGACACUGAGAACUAGGACACCGAGCACCCAGAGGGCUUAGAGGACGACGACGAUGAUGGCGACGACGAUGAGGAGAUGGAAGAGAGCGAAGACGAGCACGGGGACGAGGCAGAAUCUUCUCCGUCUGACGAAGUUCCGGCCGAGACCCGUUCUAAGGCGUGUCAGGACCCCGAAAACGCCGUCGGUGGCGAAGCCGAGUGCGUCGGCGAUGCCGACUCGCAGCUCCAAACGGGGUCGGAGCGAGCCUGAGGCGGUGCUGGAGCAGGCCGCUAAGCAGCCUAAGAUCACAAGCUCCAAACCUCGCAAGGACGUUCUGCCGGGCAUCAAGGUCUACGUACCCGUGGCUUCAACAUAAGUAUUUUUGCCGAGUGAUUCAUCCCACUUUGAGCAACGUCUUCCGAGUGAUAAUUGCAUUUCUGUUGUUUCUGUUGCAGGCCUGAUACUUCGACUGCUUCACUGGAGCCCAAGACCUCUCACAGAGGUGGAGUCGACAUUGAUGUCGCUUCAUCUAAAGGUAACCCUUGAUCUUUUCUGGUGAUUCAUUCGAGACUCGGGCUUUCGCCAUACGAGUGGCCUUUUGAAUGUCUUGUGAACAUGCGCAGAACCACAAAACAUGAUUGAACUCGACGCUGACGUCCCCUGCGUAGUUGGACAAGCGUUGAAGCAGGCUCCGACUCCCAGCCGAGUGAGCAUCAAGGCCAAGACUCCCGAGGUGCAGGAGAACGCCUCGGCUGGGGCGUCACUCGUAUUGUAUCCGCUGACCGCUCUGUCGCCUCUCCCCAAGGAUCGCAACAUCUUCCAGCUCCACCAUACCCUGGAGGAUCAGGAGGGGCGCGCAAGGAAGCCUUGGCUCAGCUGGAUGUGAUGGUUGGACGAUUGAAGGAGACAUAUGACGCAAGUGAAGUCGUGGCAAAGAACAUUCGGGUGAGUCCUUCACGUACGCAUUUGUUUCUGAAUCUGAUCCCGAGUGGGAAUCCUGAGUGAGCAUGCUCGAAGGCAAACCCGCUUGGUGUUUGCUUUCACUGAGAGUGCGCUGAGCGCACCCACUGGGUGUAGUCCCCGAGGCUACCGUCGACUGGGGCACUCGGCGAUAGCCUUAUUUUCUUUGUAUGUUCGACAUAGUCUUGUAAGGUGCGGAUCGCUUUUCUUUCCUCUAGCUUUCUAGUGGGGGCGCGAUGAGCGCACCCACUUCGUGUAGUCCCCGAGGCGACCGUUGACUAUGGCAGUCGGCCGUAGUCUCAGUUUCCUUGUCUUGAUCGAUAGAGGCCGAUCGGGUGAGGAUCCCUUAUCCUCCGUCACUCCAGUGGGGGCUGAUACGUCUCCAACGUAUCUAUAAUUUUUGAUGGUUUCAUGUUAUUAUUGUUGGAAAUAUGCCAUAGAGGCAAUAAUAAAAUGGUUAUUAUCAUAUUUCCUUGUUCAUGAUAAUCGUCUAUUGUUCAUGCUAUAAUUGUAUUAACAGGAAACAGUAAUACAUGUGUGAAUAAAUAGAUCACAAUGUGUCCCUAGCAAGCCUCUAGUUGGCUAGCUCGUUAGUCAAUAGAUGAUCAUGGUUUCCUGAUCAUGGGCAUUAGAUGUCAUUGAUAACGGGAUCACAUCAUUAGGAGAAUGAUGUGAUGGACAAGACCCAAUCCUAAGCAUAGCACUAGAUCGUAUUGUUCGUAUGCUAAAGCUUUUCUAAUGUCAAGUAUCUUUUCCUUCGACCGUGAGAUUGUGCAACUCUCGGAUACCAUACGAGUGCUUUGUGUGUAUCAAACGUCACAACGUAACUGGGUGACUAUAAAGGUGCACUACGGGUACCUCCGAAAGUGUCUGUUGGGUUGGUACGAAUCGAGAUCGGGAUUUGUCACUCCGUGUCACGGAGAGGUAUCUCUGGGCCCACUCGGUAGAACAUCAUCAUGAGCUCAAUGUGACUAAGGAGUUAGUCAUGAUAUGACGUGCUACGGAACGAGUAAAGAGACUUACCGGUAACGAGAUUGAACAAGGUAUAGGUAUACCGACGAUCGAAUCUCGGGCAAGUUAUAUACCGACAGACAAAGGGAAUCGUAUACGGGAUUGAUUGAAUCCUUGACAUCGUGGUUCAUCCGAUGAGAUCAUCGUGGAGCAAGUGGGAUCCACCAUGGGUAUCCACACCCCGCUGAUGGUUAUUGGCCAGAGAGGUGUCUGCCUGUAUCCCGAACCCGUAGGGUCUACACACUUAAGGUUCGAUGACGCUAGGGUUAUAGGGAAUUGUUAUACGAGGUUACCGAAAGUUGUUCGGAGUCCCGGAUGAGAUCCUGGACGUCACGAGGAGCUCCGGAAUGGUCCGGAGGUAAAGAUUGAUAUAUAGGACGGAUGGUUUCGGACACCGGAAGUGUUUCGGGCGUCACCGGUAACGUACUGGGACCACUGGAGGUGGCCCCAGGGGUCCACCGAAGGGGGGCAACGACCCCAAGAGGCUAGAUGGGCUAAGUGCGGGAGGGAACCAGCCCCUAGGUGGGCUGGUGCGCCUCCCACACCCAGCCCAAUGCGCAAGUGGUGGGGAGAGGGGGCAACCCUAGGCGCAGGUGGGCCUUAGGCCCACCAGGUGGUGCGCCACAACCCCUCCCACCCUAGCCGCCGCCCCCCUCUCCCACCUGGUGGCCGCCGGCCCCUAGGGAGGGAACCCUAGGGGUGGCGCAGCCCUCCCCCUCCUCCUAUAAAUAGAGAGGGGUUUGGCCAUUGAGAGACACGGAUUUCCCUCUCUCUCGGCGCAGCCCUGCCCUUCUUCCUCCUCCUCUCUGCUGGUGCUUGGCGAAGCCCUGCCGGGAGACCUCGUCUCUCCAUCAACACCAUGCCGUCGUGCUGCUGGAGUUCUUCCCCAACCUCUCCCUCCUCCUUGCUGGAUCAAGGUGCGGGAGACGUCACCGGGCUGCACGUGUGUUGAACGCGGAGGUGUCGUAGUUCGGCACUAGAUCGGAAUCACACCGCGAUCUGAAUCGCCGCGAUUACGACUCCAUCAACCGCGUUCUAGCAACGCUUCCGCUUAGCGAUCUUCAAAGGUAUGAUGAUGCUCUUACCCCUCUCUCGUUGCUGGUCUCUCCAUAGGAAGAUCUGAAUAUGCGUAGGAAAAUUUUGAAUUUAUGCUACGUUGCCCAACAAUUAUCUUGCCAAACUUUGGAUGUUUUGUAUGCCUUUUAUAUCUUUUCUCGCACUAACUUAUUAAAUCAGUGCCAAGAGCCAGUUCCUGUUUUUAAUGUGUUUUUGACCCUUUUCAGAGGAGUAUUUUAAACGGAAUCCAAACGGAACAAAACUUCCAAAAAGAUCUUUUCCGAAACAGAAGCCGAUCGGGGAACUUGAGAACCAAGGCAGGGGGCCACCAGGGACCCCACAAGCCCCCUAACCACGGCCAGGGGGGUCGCUCCUCCCACGCUUAUGGGCUCCCUAGGCCUCCUCUGCCCUAGGUCAUUUGCAUAUAUAUUCCCAAAAAUUCCAGAAAAAAUGAGGAGAUCAUCGAAAGUACUUUUCCGCCGCCGCAAGCUUCUGUCUCCGCAAGAUCCCAUAUGGAGCAUGUUCUGGUGCCCUGCCGGAGGGGGAUUCGGAUACGGAGGGCUUCUUCAUCAACACCAUGACCUCUCCGAUGAUGCGUGAGUAGUUCACCAUAGACCUACGGGUCCAUGGCUAGUAUCUAGAUGGCUUCUUCUCUCUCUUGGAUCUUCAAUACAAAGUUCUCCAUGAUCUUCAUGGAGAUCUAUCUGAUGUAAUCUUAUUUUGCGGUGUGUUUGUCGAGAUCCUAUGAAUUGUGGAUUUAUGAUCAGAUUAUCUAUGAAACUUAUUGGGGUUUCUUCUGAUCUCUUAUAUGCAUGAUUUCAUAUCCUUGUAAUUCUCUUCGAGUUGUGGGUUUUGUUUGUCCAACUUGAUCUAUGAUUCUUGCAAUGGGGAAGUGCUUGGUUUUGGGUUCAUACCGUGCGGUGACCUCAACCAGUGACAGAAGGGGUAGCGAGGCACGCAUCAUGCUGUUGCCUUCAAGGGUAAAAAGAUGGGGUUUUCAUCAUUGGUUUGAGUUUAUCCCUCUACAUCAUGUCAUCUUGCUUAAGGCGUUACUCUGUUCGUCAUGAACUCAAUACACUAGAUGCAUGCUGGAUAGCGGUCGAUGUGUGGAGUACUAGUAGUAGAUGCAGAAAGUAUCGGUCUACUUGUCUCGGACGUGAUGCCUAUAUGUAUGAUCAUUGCCUUAGAUAUCGUCACGACUUUGCGCGGUUCUAUCAAUUGCUCGACAGCAAUUUGUUCACACACCGUAAUAUUUGCUAUUUUGAGAGAAGCCUCUAGUGAACACUAUGGCCCCCGGGUCUACUUCACACCAUAUUUUCAGCCUUACUAUUUUACUUCGUUGUACUUUCCGCCUUCAGAUCUCACUUUGUAAUCAAUCUUGAAGGGAUUGACAACCCCUUUAUAGCGUUGGGUGCAAGCUCUUUUGUGUUUGGGCAGGUACUCUGGACUUGACGAGAUUCUCCUACUGGAUUGAUACCUUGGUUCUCAAACUGGGGGAAAUACUUACUGCUCCUGUGCUGCAUCACCCUUUCCUCUUCAAGGGAAAAACCAACGCAAUCAAGUCUCCGUCAACGUGUCAAUUUCUGGUGCUGUUGUUUGAGAAGUAGCAGAAGGAUUUCUGGCACCGUUGCCGGGGAGGAUCAAGUCAGGAACUCAUCCAAGUAAGUGUCACAAACUCAUCUCUUGCAUUUAGUUUUUUGCCCCUCGUUUUCCUCUCCCCCACUUCUGAAAACAAAAAUUUACAAAAAUAUUUGCCAUUUUCUUCGUUCGCCCUUUUCUCUCGCUUGCUCUUUGUUCGCUUGUGUGCUUGCUUGCUUGCUGAAGUCACCAUGACUGAAAACACCAAACAUUGUGACUUCUCGAAUACUAAUAAUAAUGAUUUUAUUAGUACUCCGAUUUCUCCCACCACUAGUGCGGAGUCAUACGAAAUCAAUGCCGCUUUGCUGAAUCUUGUUAGGAAAGAGCAAUUCUCCGGCCUUCCUAGUGAAGAUGUCGCAUCCCAUCUUAAUAGCUUUGCGAUAUGCAAACGAAGAAAGAUGUGGAUAAUGAUGUGAUUAAAUUGAAGCCUUUUCCUUUCUCGUUGCGAGAUCGAGCAAAAACUUGGUUUUCGUCUUUGCCCAAAAAUAGUAUUUAUUCUUGGAAUAAGUGCAAAGAUGCUUACAUAUCCAAGUAUUUUCCGCCGGCUAAGAAUAUCUCUCUCCGUAAUGAUAUCAUGAAUUUUAAGCAACUUGAUCAUGAACUUGUUGCACAAUCUUGGGAGAGAAUGAAAUUGAUGAUUAGAAAUUGUCCCGCUCAUGGCUUGAGUCUUUGGAUGAUUAUACAAAUCUUCUAUGCUAGCUUGAAUUUCGCUUCUAGAAAUAUCUUGGACUCCGCCUCAGGUGUAACGUUCAUGGAAAUCACAUUAGGAAAAGCCACAAAACCCCUAGACAAUAUCAUGACGAACUACUCUCAGUGGCACACCGAAAGGUCAUCUACUAGUAAGAAGGUACACGCUAUAGAAGAAAUUAACUCGUUAAGUGCUAAGAUGGAUGAGUUAAUGAAUUUGGUUGCCAGUAGAAGUGCUCCUUUAGAUCCUAAUGAUAUGCCCUUGUCUUCCUUGAUUGAGAGUAGCAACGCUAUCCUGGACGUUAAUUUUGUUGGUAGGAAUAAUUUUGGCAACAACAAUGCUUUUAGAGGAAACUAUGUUCCUAGGCCUUUUCCUAGUAACUCCUCUAAUAACUUUGGCAACUCCUACAACAAUACUCUUGGAAAUUACAAUAGAUUACCCACUGAUCUAGAGAGUAAUAUCAAAGAUUUUAUCAACACAUGAAAUAUUUUCAAUGCGUCCAUAGAGGAAAAACUACUCAAAAUUGAUGAUUUGGCUAGGAGCGUUGAUAGAAUCUCUAGUGAUAUUGAUGCUUUGAAAGUUAGAUGUGCUCCUCCCAAGAUCAAUAUGGAUGAAACUUUGAAAGCUAUGCGUGUUUCCAUGAGUGAGAGCAAAGAAAGAACCGCCCAAAUUCGUGUUAGACAUGAAUGGCUUAAAAAGGCGUGUUCUUGUGAUAAGAAUCACGAAGAUCUUAAAGUGCUUGGUGUGACUCCCAUUGAAUCUUUGUUUUAUUGUGUCAAACCUAAUGAUGAUGAGGCUGGAUAUGAAUCUACUUUGGUUGAAAAACGCCCCAAUGAUUUGGAGUCCAUCUAUCUUGAUGCUAAAAGCAUUGAAACUGGAGUAGAAGAUAUUAAAACUAUGAGUAGUAAUGAAAUUACUACUUUGGAUUUCAAGGAAUUCAAUUAUGAUAGUUUCUCCUUGAUUGAAUGCAUUUCCUUGAUGCAAUCCAUGCUAAACUCUCCACACACGUAUAGCCAAAACAAGGCCUUUACCGAUCAUAUCAUCGAAACUAUGAUAAAAUCUCUUGAAGAGAAACUUGAAUUGGAAGUCUCUAUCCCUAGAAAGCUUCAUGAUGAGUGGGAACCUACUAUCAAAAUCAAAAUAAAAAACGAUGAAUGCAAUGCUUUGUGUGAUUUGGGUGCUAGUGUUUCCGCGAUUCAAAAGUCUUUAUGUGAAAUUCUGGGUUAUAAUGAGAUUGAGGAAUGUUCUCUUAAUUUGCAUCUUGCGGAUUCUACUGUCAAUAAACCCAUGGGAAGGAUAAAUGAUGUUCUUAUUGUUGCAAAUAGGAACUAUGUACCCGUAGAUUUCAUUGUGCUUGACAUUGAUUGCAAUCCUACAUGUCCUAUUAUUCUUGGUAGACCUUUCCUAAGGACUAUUGGUGCUAUCAUCGAUAUGAAGGAAGGGAAUAUUAGAUUUCAAUUUCCUUUAAAGAAGGUCAUGGAACAUUUUCCUAGAAAUAAAAUAAGAUUGCCUUAUGAAUCCAUGAUGAGGGCUACUUAUGGUUUGAGCACCAAAGACGACGAUACGUGAUUCUAUCGCUUUAUGCCUAUCUAAGGGCAUUAAACAAUAGCGCUUGUUGGGAGGCAACCCAAUGAAUUUAUCUUUUUAUUUAUAUUUUGUUGCGUCCACACCAUCAUAAUUCUGUUAUGAUAGUGUCUUUUGUGUUUAUUUUUGUGUCUGAGCCAAGUAAAACCUUUAUGACUAGUCUUGGUGAUGGUUGUUUGAUCCUGCUAGAAAAAGACAGAAACUUUUCGCUCACGAGAUUAUUUUUCAUUUUUAUUCAGAAAGAGAUUUUGAGUUUAUUCUUUUUUCUUCUGGUUGAUAUGCCUUUUUCCCACGCAGCCGUAACUUUUCAGAAUUUGUGAGGUACAGAAGUAUACGAAGUAUACAGAUUGCUACAGACUGGGCUGUUUUUGACAAAUUCUGUUUUUGUUGAGUUGGUUGCUUGUUUUGAUGAAACUAUGGAUAGUAUCGGGGGUACUAGCCAUGGAAAAGUGAGAAUACAGUAAUAUAACACCAAUAUAAAUAGAAAUCAAGAUUGCUACAGUACCUAAAGAGGUGGUAGUUUGUUUUCUUGUGCUAAUGUUAUCACGAGUUUCUGUUUAAGUUUUGUGUUGUGAAGUUUUCAAGUUUUGGGUGAUGUUCUCAUGGACAAAGAGAUAAGGAGUGGAAAGAGCUCAAGCUUGGGGACGCCCAAGGCAUCCCAAGCCAAAUUCAAGGACACCAAANNNNNNNNNNNNNNNNNNNNNNNNNNNNNNNNNNNNNNNNNNNNNNNNNNNNNNNNNNNNNNNNNNNNNNNNNNNNNNNNNNNNNNNNNNNNNNNNNNNNCUAUCGCGUGGGGCCUCCCUGUCAUAGACAGCGGGUGCGUUGGCCCCACCGGUAAGUGACCCAAGGCUAUUUUCUCAUCUUUUUUUAUUAGAUACCUAACCGUGCAAAUACCGUAUUCCUCUAACUAUCCAUAUACGUAAAUACAUACAUCACAUCUCAUACAUUCAUACAUACAUACGCAUCUAAUACAUCAUUUGUUUUUUUUAUUUCUCUCAAAACUCUCAUCUCCCUCUCUGUUAACAGAGAGACAGAGAACUCUCUCUGCUCCAACUCAACCUAGAAGAACAUAAACUUCAAUCCCUCCUACCGGAGUCUACCGUCGACGGAUCGAGGUCCCGUUUACCGGAACGGAACCGGGACGGCGAGGAGAACGACAUGGUGAGAGGAGCCCGAGGAGGGGCUCACCGACGUUGACGGGAGGGGCCGGUGAAGCCGGAGUUCGCGGGAAGGGGUGGAGGAGACGGCGUGGUUCCGGUGGUGAAGGGUACGGUGAUGUUGGUGGUGAUGCGCCGGCGAGGGGGAGCCGGCCGAAUCCGGCGAGGUGAUGAUGUCUCCCUGCCCGGUCCCUCCCGGACCGAGCGGGAGAAGGCCGACGGGGGCGGGGUGGUAGGCCGGCGAGGUGGACGGCCGAGGCAGCCGGGGCCCCAGCCNNNNNNNNNNNNNNNNNNNNNNNNNNNNNNNNNNNNNNNNNNNNNNNNNNNNNNNNNNNNNNNNNNNNNNNNNNNNNNNNNNNNNNNNNNNNNNNNNNNNNNNNNNNNNNNNNNNNNNNNNNNNNNNNNNNNNNNNNNNNNNNNNNNNNNNNNNNNNNNNNNNNNNNNNNNNNNNNNNNNNNNNNNNNNNNNNNNNNNNNNNNNNNNNNNNNNNNNNNNNNNNNNNNNNNNNNNNNNNNNNNNNNNNNNNNNNNNNNNNNNNNNNNNNNNNNNNNNNNNNNNNNNNNNNNNNNNNNNNNNNNNNNNNNNNNNNNNNNNNNNNNNNNNNNNNNNNNNNNNNNNNNNNNNNNNNNNNNNNNNNNNNNNNNNNNNNNNNNNNNNNNNNNNNNNNNNNNNNNNNNNNNNNNNNNNNNNNNNNNNNNNNNNNNNNNNNNNNNNNNNNNNNNNNNNNNNNNNNNNNNNNNNNNNNNNNNNNNNNNNNNNNNNNNNNNNNNNNNNNNNNNNNNNNNNNNNNNNNNNNNNNNNNNNNNNNNNNNNNNNNNNNNNNNNNNNNNNNNNNNNNNNNNNNNNNNNNNNNNNNNNNNNNNNNNNNNNNNNNNNNNNNNNNNNNNNNNNNNNNNNNNNNNNNNNNNNNNNNNNNNNNNNNNNNNNNNNNNNNNNNNNNNNNNNNNNNNNNNNNNNNNNNNNNNNNNNNNNNNNNNNNNNNNNNNNNNNNNNNNNNNNNNNNNNNNNNNNNNNNNNNNNNNNNNNNNNNNNNNNNNNNNNNNNNNNNNNNNNNNNNNNNNNNNNNNNNNNNNNNNNNNNNNNNNNNNNNNNNNNNNNNNNNNNNNNNNNNNNNNNNNNNNNNNNNNNNNNNNNNNNNNNNNNNNNNNNNNUUUUUCUAUUUAUUUUUCUAACUGAUUUUUCUUUUUAAACACUUUCUUUUAUUAUACUUUCUNNNNNNNNNNNNNNNNNNNNNNNNNNNNNNNNNNNNNNNNNNNNNNNNNNNNNNNNNNNNNNNNNNNNNNNNNNNNNNNNNNNNNNNNNNNNNNNNNNNNCACACACAAGCCUUGCAAGCAAUGUGACUUAGUGUAAGUUGCGGGAUCUUGUAUUACGGAACGAGUAAAGGGACUUGCCGGUAAACGAGAUUGAAAUAGGUAUGCGAAUACUGACGAUCGAAUCUCGGGCAAGUAACAUACCGAAGGACAAAGGGAAUGACAUACGGGAUUAUAUGAAUCCUUGGCACUGAGGUUCAAACGAUAAGAUCUUCGUAGAAUAUGUGGGAUCCAAUAUGGGCAUCCAGGUCCCGCUAUUGGAUAUUGACCGAGGAGUUACUCGGGUCAUGUCUGCAUAGUUCUCGAACCCGCAGGGUUUGCACACUUAAGGUUCGACGUUGUUUUAUGCGUAUUUGAGUUAUAUGGUUGGUUACCGAAUGUUGUUCGGAGUCCCGGAUGAGAUCACGGAUGUCACGAGGGUUUCCGGAAUGGUCCGGAAACGAAGAUUGAUAUAUAUGAUGACCUCAUUUGAUUACCGGAAGGUUUUCGGAGUUACCGGGAAUGUACCGGGAAUGACGAAUGGGUUCNNNNNNNNNNNNNNNNNNNNNNNNNNNNNNNNNNNNNNNNNNNNNNNNNNNNNNNNNNNNNNNNNNNNNNNNNNNNNNNNNNNNNNNNNNNNNNNNNNNNCUCGGUCCGGGAGGGACCGGGCAGGGAGACAUCAUCACCUCGCCGGAUCCGGCCGGCUCCCCCUCGCCGGCUCGUCACCACCAUCAUCACCGUCCCCUUCACCACCGGAACCACGCCGUCUCCUCAGCCCCUUCCCGCGAACUCCGGCUUCACCGGCCCCUCCCGUCAACGUCGGNNNNNNNNNNUCGGCCGGCUCCCCCUCGCCGGCGCAUCACCACCAACAUCACCGUACCCUUCACCACCGGAACCACGCCGUCUCCUCCACCCCUUCCCGCGAACUCCGGCUUCACCGGCCCCUCCCGUCAACGUCGGUGAGCCCCUCCUCGGGCUCCUCUCACCAUGUCGUUCUCCUCGCCGUCCCGGUUCCGUUCCGGUAAACGGGACCUCGAUCCGUCGACGGUAGACUCCGGUAGGAGGGAUUGAAGUUUAUGUUCUUCUAGGUUGAGUUGGAGCACAGAGAGUUCUCUGUCUCUCUGUUAACACAGAGGGAGAUGAGAGUUUUGAGAAAAAAAAAACAAAUGAUGUAUUAGAUGCGUAUGUAUGUAUGUAUGUAUGAGAUGUGAUGUAUGUAUUUACGUAUAUNNNNNNNNNNGAGAGAGUUCUCUGUCUCUCUGUUAACAGAGAGGGAGAUGAGAGUUUUGAGAGAAAUAAAAAAAACAAAUGAUGUAUUAGAUGCGUAUGUAUGUAUGUAUGUAUGUAUGAGAUGUGAUGUAUGUAUUUACGUAUAUGGAUAGUUAGAGGAAUACGGUAUUUGCACGGUUAGGUAUCUAAUAAAAAAAGAUGAGAAAAUAGCCUUGGGUCACUUACCGGUGGGGCCAACGCACCCGCUGUCUAUGACAGGGAGGCCCCACGCGAUAGUUAAAAUAAAUAAUAAAAAUAUAUGUUUUUAUUAAAUAAAUAAAUAAAUAGAGAUAUUAGUUAAAUUAAUUAAUUAGAAUAAUUAGAGUAUGACACGUGGGUCCCCCANNNNNNNNNNNNNNNNNNNNNNNNNNNNNNNNNNNNNNNNNNNNNNNNNNNNNNNNNNNNNNNNNNNNNNNNNNNNNNNNNNNNNNNNNNNNNNNNNNNNGCAAACUCAAUGACACCAAAGUUGAAAAAUCGGUGGUACCGAUUAGCACAAAGGUGUGAACUUUUGAAUAUCGUUGAGACCGAUAUAUGAAACUCGGUGGCACCGAAAAAGCGACUAACGGUCAGAUGGCCAAACUCGGUGGCACCGAUACUCAAACUCGGAAAUUCCGAUUUUGUGUAUCUUGGCAACAGAAUGUUGGUCACACUGAACUCGGUAGCACCGACUUGGUUUUAGUUGCAUCGAUUUGGUGGGAAUGGCUACGGUUUCUGUCUGAGGCCAAACUCGGUGGGUCUGAUAUGGAGAUGUUGGUGACACCGAAUUUUUUAAUGUGGAUCUUGACGGAGUGGAUAUGUGGGAAAAUGACUGGGUGUUUUGGUGGCUAACUUUGAGCAUUUGAGCAAUCAGUUCAUUUACUACCUCACCCCCUUUUAUUAGGAUUGGCUUUCCUAUGGACUCUAAAGUGAUUUCUCACAAAUAUAAAAUGAAGAGUCUUCUAGCUUGAAGCNNNNNNNNNNNNNNNNNNNNNNNNNNNNNNNNNNNNNNNNNNNNNNNNNNNNNNNNNNNNNNNNNNNNNNNNNNNNNNNNNNNNNNNNNNNNNNNNNNNNGGGCUUCGGCCGAGACAAGGGGGGCAGCCCUCCCCUUCCAAACCGAGUCCAACUAGGUUUGGAAGGAGGAGUCCUUCCCCCUUUUCCCACCUCCUCUUUUUUUUCUUUUCUCUUUAUUUUUCUUCCUAUGGCGCAUAGGGCUCUUUUGGGCUGUCCCACCAGCNNNNNNNNNNAGGAUUCGGCCGAGCCAAGGGGGGCAGCCCUCCCCUUCCAAACCGAGUCCAAAUAGGUUUGGAAGGAGGAGUCCUUCCCCCUUUUCCCACCUCCUCUUUUUUUCUCUUUUCUCUUUGAUUUUCUUCCUAUGGCGCAUAGGGCCUUCUUGGGCUGUCCCNNNNNNNNNNCCCCCCUUUUCCCACCUCCUCUUUUUUUUUCUCUUUGAUUUUUCUUCCUAUGGCGCAUAGGGCUCUUUUGGGCUGUCCCACCAGCCCACUAAGGGCUGGUGCGCCACCCCCAAUGCCUAUGGGCUUCCCCGGGGUGGGUUGCCCCCCCGGUGAACUCCCGGAACCCAUACGUCAUUCCCGGUACAUUCCCGGUAACUCCGAAAACCUUCCGGUAAUCAAAUGAGGUCAUCCUAUAUAUCAAUCUUCGUUUGCAGACUAUUCCGGAAACCCUCGUGACGUCCGUGAUCUCAUCCGAGACUCCGAACAACAUUCGGUAACCAACCAUAUAACUCAAAUACGCAUANNNNNNNNNNCGGGACCAUUUCGGAAACCCUCGUGACAUUCGUGAUCUCAUCCGGGACUCCGGCCAACAUUCGGUAACCAACCAUAUAACUCAAAUACGCAUAAAACAACGUCGAACCUUAAGUGUGCAGACCCUGCGGGUUUGAGAACUAUGUAGACAUGACCCGAGUGACUCCUCGGUCAAUAUCCAAUAGCAGGACCUGGAUGCCCAUAUUGGAUCCCACAUAUUCUACGAAGAUCUUAUCGUUUGAACCUCAGUGCCAAGGAUUCNNNNNNNNNNGUCAAUAUCCAAUAGCGGGACCUGGAUGCCCAUAUUGGAUCCUACAUAUUCUACGAAUAUCUUAUCGUUUGAACCUCAGUGCCAAGGAUGCAUAUAAUCCCGUAUGUCAUUCCCUUUGUCCUUCGGUAUGUUACUUGCCCGAGAUUCGAUCAUCAGUAUCCUUAUACCUAUUUCAAUCUCGUUUACCGGCAAGUCUCUUUACUCGUUCCGUAAUACAAGAUCCCGCAACUUACACUAAGUCACAUUGCUUGCANNNNNNNNNNNNNNNNNNNNNNNNNNNNNNNNNNNNNNNNNNNNNNNNNNNNNNNNNNNNNNNNNNNNNNNNNNNNNNNNNNNNNNNNNNNNNNNNNNNNGCUCUUUAAUCAUUCCGUAAUACAAGAUCCCGCAACUUACACUAAGUCACAUUGCUUGCAAGGCUUGUGUGUGAUGUUGUAUUACCGAGUGGGCCCCGAGAUACCUCUCCGUCACACGGAGUGACAAAUCCUAGUCUCGAUCCAUACUAACUCAACAAACACCUUCGGAGAUACCUGUAGAGUAUCUUUAUAGUCACCCAGUUACAUUGCGAUGUUUGAUACACACAAAGCAUUCCUCCGGUGUCAGUGAGUUAUAUGAUCUCAUGGUCAUAGGAACAAAUACUUGACACGCAGAAAACAAUAGCAACAAAAUGACACAAUCAACAUGCUAUGUCUAUUAGUUUGGGUCUAGUCCAUCACAUGAUUCUCCUAAUGAUGUGAUCCCGUUAUCAAGUGACAACACUUGCCUAUGGUCAGGAAACCUUGACCAUAUUUGAUCAACGAGCUAGUCAACUAGAGGCUUACUAGGGACAGUGUUUUGUCUAUGUAUCCACACAUGCACAGUGUUUCCAAUCAACAAUUAUAGCAUGGAUAAUAAACGAUUAUCAUGAACAAAGAAAUGUAAUAAUAACUAAUUUAUUAUUGCCUCUAGGGCAUAUUUCCAACACUUAGCUCCCCAGAUCUUGCGGUUUUGCGAGAAGCCCUUUAUAAUGAUAAAACUUAUAGCUUGGGCGUUAUAGUAGCUCAACGAUUGAACACGAACUGUUCUAAAGGCGUUUUUAUGGAGGUAUCUAUGCUACUCGUCUUGCUAGACAUUUUGAGAUACCUAUUAGACUGGACGAGGAAGAAGAGAUUCUUCUUCCUGAGAGAUAUCUAGAUUAUGAUAGCAUGGUUCGCCAUGACUUUCUUGAUAAAGAUAUAAAUAAGAGGAUGAUUUAUAACCUGAUAUUUAGUCAGGGUACUCGUGAGACUAUUACCUUGCCUACUCCUUCUUUGUUCAAUCUUCAUCUAGGGAGGUACAUUAUUAUGCCCUCGGACAUAUACGCAUAUUGGGGCAUAGCACCACCACACGCGCCCGUGCCCGAGCUACCAGUCGAGUACCAGAUGCCAGUUUAUUAGUGGGAGCCAGAGGAGCUCACACAGCAGUGGCACCCUCAGUACACUCUGGAGUACCCUAGAGACGGUUAUUUAACUCCAUGGGAGUAGACCAACUUAGGCCAAAAGCCUAAGCUUGGGGGAGUACGUGUUUCUCACCGACUUUAUAUUCAUGCUCACACUUUCACUUUGUUAGUUGGUGUUCACACUUUUCCACUGUAUCAUCCAUGCUAGUUUAUUUCUUUUUUUCUCGCUUUCAUCUCGUGUGUUUGUCUAGUUUGAGAAAACCCGAAAAGAUUUAUUGUUUUUCUAUUGCUUGUUGGAAGCUUUCCCGUGUAAAUAGUUUUCUUUUUCUUUGGGUCAAGGUAGAAGACCAUGGUUACAAUGUUUAGUGGCUCUCGCAUGCAUAUCUAUUUAUCUGUCAAAGAGCUAUAUUACUUUGUCUUCUCCUUUGUGUUUGCUUGCAGAUUCUAGCUUAGUCCAAUGCACGAGCACUCGUAUUAUUGUUCACAUUGUUCGGUCGUGCAAGUGAAAGGCAAUAAUGACGAUAUAUGAUGAAGUGACUGAGCCUGGAAAAGCUGGUAUGAACUCGAUCUAUUUUGUUUUUGUAAAUAUGACUAGCUCAUCGUUGCAGAUUCAGCUUUGUUGUGAGAGAAACAUGUUUGCAAUGACAACUUAGAGAUCAUAGUUUUUGAUGCCAUGCUUAAUUAGCUAGGAGCUUAUAAUGGUUUGUCUUGGAUGCCAACAUGAAUUUCGAGAUGAUUAUGAUGUAGUAUGAUACGAUGGUAUCCUCCUUUGAAUGAUUCAAUUGGCUUGACUUGGCGCAAGUUUACGCAUGUAGUUGAAACAAAUCAACAUAACCUCUAUGAUAUUCAUGUUCAUGGUGAUUUAUGUCCUACUCAUGCUUGCACUCAAUGUUGGUUAAUCUCAAUGCAUUUUGAUGACUGUUGUCGCUCUCUAGUUGGUCGCUUCCCAGUCCUUUGCUAGCCUUCACUUGUACUAAGCGGGAAUACUACUUGUGCAUCCACUUCCAUAAACCCAAAGUUGUUCCAUAUGAGUCCACCAUACCUACCUAUAUGCGGUAUCUACCUGCCGUUCCAAGUAAAUUUGCAUGUGCCACUCUCUAAACCUUCAAGAAAUAAUCUGUUUUGCAUGCCCAAACCGCUCAUGUGGUGACAAGGGGCGAUCAGUAUCUUCCAUGCUAGGCAUGUUAUCCUCGAUAUGUGUUUAUUCACUAUCACUGACGAGAAAGGGGACGGUAAUUGGAAUGCCCAGUUCCAUGCUCAACUCGAAAAGAUAAUUGCAAACAAAGCUCCCCCUGGAUUGUUGUUGGUAUGGACGGCACCCGAGUAUUCGGCUAGUCGUGGAGUGUGAUUGAUUGGUGGUGGGGGAGUCAAAACUUUACUUUUCUGUUUGGCAACCGCCUAUAGUAUGUGUAGCAUGGAAGAUGGUGAAAACUCUUGGUCAUUGCGUUGACAAUGAAAGCACGCCACCCAAAAUUAUUAUCUCUGUUUUAAAAGUUUGAGCUCUGGCACCUCUGCAAAUCAAUGCUUCCCUCUGCGAAGGGCCUGUUUAUUUAUGUUUCUGUUGAGUCAUCCUAUUCUUAUAAAAGCAUCAAUUAGAGAGCACCUCUGUCAUUUUUAUGCUUUGCUUUUAACUGAUAUUGAGUAUGACUGUGACUGGAUCUUCUUUGCCAUGAAUUACAAUGUUUAGUCAGCCCUUGGUCUUUGAAGGUGCUCUGCAUUUAUGUUUUGCGGUCUCAGAAAGAGCUAGCGAGAUACCAUCUGUUCAUACUGCUUCAUGAUUGUUUUGAUUGAAGUGUUGAUGUUUGAAACUCAUUAUUAUUGCUCGCUAGUUGAUUAUGCCAUUGAUAUGAGUUCCUCUUGAGACCUAAAUGUCAUUGCUUAUGUGGUUUGCUUUUGAUCUUGCUAAAAAUCUGAAUAUGAGUUAGACAUAAUUACAGCAACAAGAUCAAACAGAGUUCGUAAAAGUUUUUCUUUUGUCUCUUUCAGUUUGUCAACUGAAUUGCUUGAGGACAAGCAAGGUUUUAAGCUUGGGGGAGUUGAUACGUCUCCGUCGUAUCUAAUUUUCCAAACUCUUUUGCCCUUGUUUUCGACUCUAAUUUGCAUGAUUUGAAUGGAACUAACCCGGACUAACACUGUUUUCACCAGAAUUGCCCUGGUGUUGUUUUUGCGCAGAAAUAAAAUUUCUCGGAAUGGCCCGGAAAUUUAUGAGGAUUUUUUGUGGAAUAUACAAAAAAUAUUGGCGCAAGAAUCAACCGAAGAAGUGGAGCGUGGAGCCCACAAGCCCACCAGGUGCGCCCCCCCUGGCCGCGCCUAGCAGGCUUGUGGGGCCCACGGAGCUCCACCGCCUCCAAUUCCAGCUCUAUUUACUCCCUUUCGUCCGGAAAAAAAUUAAAGGAGGAGAGUUCAUCGCGUUUUACGAUACGGAGUCACCGCCACCUCCUGUUCUUCCUCUCGAGGGCAGAUCUGGAGUCCGUUCUGGGCUCCGGAGAGGGGAGAUCGUCGCCGUCGUCAUCACCAACCUUCCUUCAUCGCCAAUUCCAUGAUGCUCUUCACCGUUCAUGAGUAAUCUCAUCGUAGGCUUGCUAGACGGUGAUGGGUUGGAUGAGAUCUAUCAUGUAAUCGAGUUAGUUUUGACGGGGAUUGAUCCCUAGUAUCCACUAUGUUCUGAUAUUGAUGUUGCUACCACUUUGCCAUGCUUAAUGCUUGUCACUAGGGCCCGUGUGCCAUGAUUUCAGAUCUGAACCUAUUAUGUUCUCGUCAAUAUAUGUGUGUGCUUGAUCCUAUCUUGCAAGUUGUAGUCACCUACUAUGUGUUAUGACCCGGCAACCCCGGAGUGACAAUAGCCGGAACCACUCCCGGAGAUGACCAUAGUAUGAGGAGUUCAUAUAUUCACUAAGUGUUAAUGCGUUGGUCCGGUUCUCUAUUAAAAGGAGAACCUUAAUAUCCCGUAGUUUCCAUUAGGGCCCCGCUGCCACAGGAGGGAUGGACAAUAGAUGCCAUGCAAGUUCUUUUCCCUAAGCACGUAUGACUACAUACGGAAUACAUGCCUACAUUACAUUGACGAACUGGAGCUAGUUACUUAUCUCUCCGCGUUAUAACUGUUGCAUGAUGAAUACCAUCCGGCAUAAUUAUCCAUCACCGAUCCAAUUCCUACGAGUUUUUCCUACUGGUCCUUGCUAUGUUACUUUGCUGCUAGUGCUAUCACUGCUGCUACUGUUACUCUGUCACUACUGUUGUCACUAUUGCUACUGGUUACCGUUGCUACUUUGCUAUCAUAUUACUCUGCUACUGAUACUUUGCUGCAGAUACUAAGUCUUUCAGGUGUGGUUGAAUUGAAAACUCAACUGCUAAUACUCGAGAAUAUUCUUUGGCUUCCCCUUGUGUCGAAUCAAUAAAUUUGGGUUGAAUACUCUACCCUCGAAAAUUGUCGCGAUCCCCUAUACUUUUUUCUGGCGCCGUUGCCGGGGAGGCAUAGCUAUAUUCUCUGAGUCACUUGGUAUUUAUGUCUGCUGAUCACUAUGAGGAAUACGAAAGAUCCAAGAACUAAAGUCUUGCCCUCAACUACGAGGACAGGUGAGGAACUGCCAUCUAGCUCUGCACUUGAUUCACCUUCAGUUAUGAGUAAGUUUGCGACACCACCUCCUACUAGAAAUUUUGAUAUGUCGCCUGUGCUUGAUGAUGCUACUUCUGUUGCCCAUGAUGCUUGUGAUGAUGCUUUGCUUAAUACUACUUUGCCACUAGCUGCAUUCCUAGAUGCGCAAAUUGCUAGAGUUGCUGCUAGAUGUGAUGAUACUUCUGAAACUGCUGAGAUUAUUGAAGUAGAACCUGCCAUUUCGCCUGUUAGAACUAGCUCUCCUAUAUAUGAAUUGCCUGAUAUGCGUGAGGGUUAUGUUAUGGAGGGAGAGAUAGCUGAGGACUUUCUUGCUUGUAAGGAUAGCUAUGAUGUUGAGAAUUUACUGCGCAAGUGGAAAGAAAAAUCUUUGAACGCUAGGAUGAAAUACGACCCGAAGUUUGCUACUUCGCCAAUCUUUGUGACCGAUAAGGAUUAUGAAUUCUCUGUCAACCCUGAGUUAAUCACUCUGGUCGAAUCUGAUCCUUUUCACGGUUAUGAGUCUAAAACGGUUGUAGCACAUCUUACCAAACUGCACGAUAUAGCCACCCUAUUCACGAGUGAGGAAAAGAUUCGCCACUACUAUAUCCUUAAGGUGUUUCCUUUCUCGCUAAAGGAUGAUGCUAAGACUUGGUUCACUUCUCUUGCUCCUGGUUGUGUGCGUAGUCCCCAGGACAUGAUCUACUACUUCUCUUGCUCCUGGUUGUGCCGGUUGUGUUUUUAUGGAACGAACUAUGGAACAAGCUGAGAUCCUAUUGAAUAAUAUCUUGUGCAAUGAGAAUGCUUGGACUAUUCCUGAACCACCUCCGAAGCCAACUCCGAAGAAAAGAGGUAUCCUAGUCCUCAGUCCUGAAGAUAUGCAAGAAGCUAAGAAAUCUAUGAAUGAGAAAGGCAUUAAAUAUGAAGAUGUCAAAAAUCUACCACCUAUUGAAGAUAUCCAUGGUCUUGAUAACCCGAUACAGGUAGUAGAAGUAAAUUCUCUUCGUAGAUUCAAUGAGAGUGAUAUUAUUUUUGAUAAACCUGCUAGCUUACGUCUCCAUGAAUUUGAUAACUUUGUUGCCAAACAACAGAGUUUCAAUGAUUAUGUUAGCAGACAAUUGGAACAUAAUGCUCAUAUGCUUAGUCAUUUAAGUGCUUGUGUAGACAGAAACGUUAAUGAUCUUAAGCUGUUGAGUAAACAUGCCUCUAUGGUCACCACUCAAGUAGAACAAGUACUUAAGGCUCAAAAUGACUUGCUCAAUGAGUUGAAUGACAAUUCUGUCAGAGUCGUCACUAGAGGCGGUAGAAUGACCCAGGAACCUUUGUAUCCUGAGGGUCAUCCUAAGAGAAUUGAACAAGAUUCUCAAGGAGUUAGCACUGAUGCACCUAGUCAUCCUAGAAAGAAAAAGAAAGAUGAUAGGAACUUGCACGCUAGCAACCCUGUUACACCUGAGAAUCCAAACGAUGUCUCUGUUUCUGAUGCUGAAACACAAUCUGGUGAUGAACAUGAGCCUAAUGAUAAUAUCAAUAGUGAUGUUCAUGUUGAUGCUCAACCUAGCAACAAUAAGGAUGUGGAGAUUGAACCUAUUGAUCUUGAUAACCCACAUCCUAAGAAUAAGAGAUACUAUAAGAACGAUUUCGCUGCUAGGAAGCAUGGUAAAGAAAGAGAACCAUGGGUUCAGAAACCCAUGCCCUUUCCUCCCAAACCAUCCAAUAAAAAGGAUGAUGAGGAUUUUGAGCGAUUUGUUGACAUGAUUAGACCUGUCUUUCUGCAAAUGCGUUUGAUAGAUAUGCUCAAAAUGUCUCUGUAUGCUAAGUACAUGAAGGAUAUUGUGACUAAUAAGAGAAGGAUACCCGAGGUAGAGAUUUCCACCAUGCUUGCUAACUAUACCUUCAAGGGUGGAACUCCUAAGAAACUAGGUGAUCCUGGAGUGCCCACUAUACCUUGCUCCAUUAAAGGAAACUACGUUAGAACUGCUUUAUGCGACCUUGGAGCCGGUGUUAGUGUUAUUGUUGGGGAACGUCGCAUGGGAAACAAAAAAUUUCCUACGCGCACGAANNNNNNNNNNNNNNNNNNNNNNNNNNNNNNNNNNNNNNNNNNNNNNNNNNNNNNNNNNNNNNNNNNNNNNNNNNNNNNNNNNNNNNNNNNNNNNNNNNNNAUUCGAUCUACGUACCCUUGUAGAUCGCACAGCAGAAGCGUUAGUGAACGCGGUUGAUGUAGUGGAACGUCCUCACGUCCCUCGAUCCGCCCCGCGAACCGUCCCGCGAUCAGUCCCACGAUCUAGUGCCGAACGGACGGCACCUCCGCGUUCAGCACACGUACAGCUCGACGAUGAUCUCGGCCUUCUUGAUCCAGCAAGAGAGAUGGAGAGGUAGAAGAGUUCUCCGGCAGCGUGACGGCGCUCCGGAGGUUGGUGAUGAUCUCGUCUCAGCGGGGCUCCGCCCGAGCUCCGUAGAAACGCGAUCUAGAGGUAAAACCGUGGAGAUAUGUGGUCGGGCUGCNNNNNNNNNNUGAGUUCUCCAGCAGCGUGACGGUGCUCCGGAGGUUGGUGGUGAUGUAAUCUCAGCAGGGCUCCGCCCGAGCUCCGCAGAAACGUGAUCUAGAGGUAAAACCGUGGAGAAUGUGGUCGGGCUGCCGUGGCAAAGUUAUCUCAAAUCAGCCCUAAAACCUCCGUAUAUAUAAGGGGAAGAGGGGGAGCCUUGCCUUGGGGUCCAAGGACCCUCAAGGGGGUCGGCCGAGCCAAGGGGGGAGUCCUCCCCUUCCAAACCGAAUCCAACUAGGUUUGGAAGGAGGAGUCCUUCCCCUUUUUCCCACCUCCUCUUUUUUUUCCUUUCCUCUUUGAUUUUCUUCCUAUGGCGCAUAGGGCCUUCUUGGGCUGUCCCACCAGCCCACUAAGGGCUGGUGUGCCACCCCCAAGGCCUAUGGGCUUCCCCGGGGUGGGUUGCCCCCCCCGGUGAACUCCCGGAACCCAUUCAUCAUUCCCGGUACAUCCCCGCUAACUCCGAAAACCUUCCGGUAAUCCAAUGAGGUCAUCCUAUAUAUCAAUCUUCCUUUCCGGACCAUUCCGGAAACCCUCGUGACGUCCGUGAUCUCAUCCGGGACUCCGAACAACAUUCGGUAACCAACCAUAUAACUCAAAUACGCAUANNNNNNNNNNUUCCAAGGACCCCUAAGGGCUUCGGCCGAGGAAAGGGGGGGGAGUUCUCCCCUUCCAAACCGAGUCCAACUAGGUUUGGAAGGAGGAGUCCUUCCCCCUUUUCCCACCUCCUCUUUUUUUNNNNNNNNNNNNNNNNNNNNNNNNNNNNNNNNNNNNNNNNNNNNNNNNNNNNNNNNNNNNNNNNNNNNNNNNNNNNNNNNNNNNNNNNNNNNNNNNNNNNGCAAAGUGAGAUCUGGAGGCGGAAAGUGCAACGAAGUAAAAGAGUAGGCUGAAAAUAUGGUGUGAAGUAGACCCGGGGGCCAUAGUGUUCACUNNNNNNNNNNCAGAGUACCUGCCCAAACACAAAAGAGCUUGCACCCAACGCUAUAAAGGGGUUGUCAAUCCCUUCAAGAUUGAUUACAAAGUGAGAUCUGAAGGCGGAAAGUACAACGAAGUAAAAUAGUAAGGCUGAAAAUAUGGUGUGAAGUAGACCCGGGGGCCAUAGUGUUCACUNNNNNNNNNNCGGCUUCUCUCAAAAUAGCAAAUAUUACGGUGGGUGAACAAAUUACUGUCUAGCAAUUGAUAGAACCGCGCAAAGUCAUGACGAUAUCUAAGGCAAUGAUCAUACAUCCGAGACAAGUAGACCUAUACUUUCUGCAUCUACUACUAUUACUCCACACAUCGACCGCUAUCCAGCAUGCAUCUAGAGUAUUGAGUUCAUGACGAACAGAGUAACGCCUUAAGAAAGAUGACAUGAUGUAGAGGGAUAAACUCAAACCAAUGAUGAAAACCCCAUCUUUUUACCCUUGAUGGCAACAACACGAUGCGUGCCUCGCUACCCCUUAUGUCACUAGGAGAGGUCACCGCAUGGUAUGAACCCAAAACCAAGCACUUCUCCCAUUGCAAGAAUCAUAGAUCAAGUUGGCAAACAAAACCCACAACUCGAAGAUAAUUACAAGGAUAUGAAAUCAUGCAUAUAGGAGAUCACGAGAAACCCAAAUAAGAUUCAUAGAUAAUCUGAUCAUAAAUCCACAAUUCAUCGGAUCUCGACAAAUACACCGCAAAAUAAGAUUACAUCAGAUAGAUCUCCAUGAAGAUCAUGGAGAACUUUGUAUUGAAGAUCCAAGAUAGAGAAGAAGCCAUCUAGCUACUAGUUAUGGACCCGUAGGUCUAUGGUGAACUACUCACGCAUCAUCGGAGAGGUCAUGGUGUUGAUGAAGAAGCCAUCCGUAUCCGAAUUCCCCCUCCGGCAGGGCACCAGAACUUGCCCCGGAUGGGAUCUUGCGGAGACAGAAGUUUGUGACGGCGGAAAAGUACUUUCGAUGAUCUCCUCAUUUUUUCUGGAAUUUUUNNNNNNNNNNGGCAAAAGACCUAGGGCAGAGGAGGCCCAGGGAGCCAACAAGCCUGGGAGGCGUGCCCCUGGCCGCGGCUAGGGGCCUUGUAAGGUCCCUGGUGGCCCCCUGCCUUGGUUCUCAAGUUCCCCGAUCGUCUUCUGUUUCAGAAAAAAUCUUUUUGGAAGUUUCGUUCCGUUUGGACUCCGUUUAAAAUCCUCCUCUGAAAAGGGUCAAAACACGGAAAAAACAAGAACUGACACUUGGCACUGAGUUAAUAAGUUAGUCCCAAAAAAUAUAUAAAAGGCAUACGAAACAUCCAAAGUGUGAAAGAUAAUUGCAUGAAACCAUCAAAAAUUAUAGAUACGUUGGAGACGUAUCAAGCAUCCCCAAGCUUAACUCCUGCUCGUCCUCAGGUAGGGAAGUGAUAAAGACUGAAUUUUUGAUGUGGAAUGCUACCUAGAAUAGUUGUCCUUUGUAACUUCUUUCAUGUGACAUGAAAGUUCAGAUCCAUAAGAUUCAAAACAAUAGUUUUCUAUUGACAUGAAAACAAUAAUACUUCAAGCAAACUAGCAAGGUAAUCAUGAACUUUCAAAAUAACAAGGACAAGGAAAGUUAUCCCUACAAAAUCAUAUAGUCUGGCUAUGCUCCAUCAUCCUCACACAACUAAUUUAAAUCAUGCACAACCCCAGUAUUGGCCAAGUAAUUGUUUUCGCACUCUUACUUUCUCAAACUUUUUAUAACUAUCACGCAAUACAUGAGCGUGAGCCAUGGAUAUAGCACUGUAGGUGGCAUAGAGUGUGGUGGUGGUUGUGAGACAAAAAUGGAGGAGAUGUCACAUUGACUCGGCGUAUCAAAGGGCUAUGGAGAUGCCCAUUAAUAGAUAUCAAUGUGAAUGAGUAGGGAUUGCCAUACGAAGGAUGCACUAGAGCUAUAAGUAUGUGAAAGCUCAAAAGGCGAACUAGUGGGUGUGCAUCCAACUUGCUUGCUCACGAAGUCCUAGGGCAAUUUGAGGAAGCCCAUCAUUGGAAUAUACAAGCCAAGUUAUAUAAUAAAGAUCCCCACUAGCAUAUGGUGGUGACGAAACGAGAGGCUCUCAAUCAUGAAGAACAUGGUGCUAUUAUGAAGCACAAGUGUGGAAAAAGAUAGUAGCAUUGUCCCUUCUCUCUUUUUCUCUCUUUUUUUAUUUGGGCUCUUUGGCCUCUUUUUUUAAUUUCCUCACAUGGGACAAUGCUCUAAUAAUGAUGAUCAUCACACUUUUAUUUACUCACAGCUCAAAGCUCAGAACGAUGAUGACUAUAUAGGAAAUGCCUCCGGCAGUGUACCGGGAUGUGCAACGAUCUAGCUUGGCGUAUGACGUUGAAACAUCUCGCUAGCUAUCUUACAAUCAUGCAAUGGCAAUAUGAGAGUGAUGGAACAAGUAAUGAGGCGGAACGGUGGGAGUUGCAUGGCAAUAUAUCUCGGAAUGGCUUUGAAAAUGCCAUAGUAGGUAGGUAUGGUGGCUAUUUUGAGGAAGGCAUAUGGUGGGUUUGUGUACCGGCGAAAGUUGCGCGGUACUCAAGAGGAUAGCAAUGGUGGAAGGUGAAAGUGCAUCUAUACCAUGGACUCACAUUAGUCAUGUAGAACUCACAUACUUGUUGCGAAAGUUUUUGUUAGUAAUCGAAACAAAGUGCUAAACGCAUACUCCUAGGGGAAGGGUUGGUAGGUGUUAACCAUCGCGCGAUCCCGACCUCAACAAAAAGGAUGACAACCAAUAGAUCAAUUACGCUCCGACUUCCUAACAUAUCGGUUCACCAUACGUGCAUGCUACGGGAAUCACUAACUUCAACACUAGUAUUUCUAGGUUAACAACACCCUACUAACAUAACUCUUAAUAUUACCAAAUCCGCGUCUCAAAACUAAUUGAGAUGAAUCAAAACUUCUCUUUCUACUCAAUGCACAUGAAGAUGGAGUUUUUUGUAUCCUCUUUGGGUACCUAUCACCUUUGGGACUAAUCCAUAGCACAAGCCAACUACGAAGUCACGCACCGCCGUGCUCCAAAAGAUCUAAGUGAAGCACAUAGAGCAAAAUUAUCUAGCUCAAAAGAUAUAAGUGAAGCACGAUGAGUAUUCUAGCAAAAUCGCGAUGAGUGCAUGUCUCUCUAAAAAGGUGUGCAGCAAGGAUGAUUGUGACACAACAAAAAGAAAAUACUCCUACGAUACAAGACGCUCCAAGAAAAACACAUAUCAUGUGGUGAAUAAAAAUAUAGCUCCAAGUAAUGUUACCGAUGGAUUGAAGACGAAAGAGGGGAUGCCUUCCCGGGGCAUCCCCAAGCUUAGGAUUNNNNNNNNNNNNNNNNNNNNNNNNNNNNNNNNNNNNNNNNNNNNNNNNNNNNNNNNNNNNNNNNNNNNNNNNNNNNNNNNNNNNNNNNNNNNNNNNNNNNUAUGCAUCUAGUGUAUUGAGUUCAUGACAAACAGAAUAACGAUUUAAGCAAGAUGACAUGAUGUAGAGGGAUAAUCUCAAACCAAUGAUGAAAACCCCAUCUUUUUACCCUUGAUGGCAACAACAUGAUGCGUGCCUCGCUACCCCUUCUGUCACUGGGUGAGGUCACCGCACGGUAUGAACCCAAAACCAAGCACUUCUCCCAUUGCAAGAAUCAUAGAUCUAGUUGGCCAAACAAAACUGUGACAGCCCGAUGCCGACAUUCCCCCUUCUUUCCGUUUUCGUCGUGUUUCUAUUUUUAUUUGUCGCAUCAUCAUCGCAUCAUCUGCAUUGCAUCGGCAUCUCUGUUGCCGUCAGUUUUCGAAACUUGCAUCUGUUAGUAGUUGCCGGUUCAUGACGCUGCCCGUUCUAAGUCCGACCGCACUCGCACACGCCCGCAGCAUCGUCGAAACCCUGUUUUUAAAGUGUGCGUAAAACUUUCUCUGAUCGGGUUAAGAUUUGACGUGCGGUGUUAUUUUAAUAUAGCUAGGCCGCCUGUCAAAUUUCGUCGCGAUCGGAGUUCGUCUGGUACCCGAACGGUCGGUGUUUUAAAUUCGUUGCCGCGCCGCCCGUUCUCCCUCUCGUUUCCGGAUAUCCCAUCUACACGGCCUCGUAACCGUACCCACGUUCGGAAUUGUCCGAAUCCGACCGCAAGGUUGGAUCCGGAAUGAAAUUCCGGUUAUGUUAGCCCCCCUUUCCUAUUUAAACACACCCCCCUUCCAUUUUAGGUCUCCCCUAACCCUGCCUCGAAAAGCGUGCAAUUCCUGAAACCCUAGCAGCCAUCUGUCUUCCCCAGAUCUAAUCCAGCCGAGCUCCCGUUCUGGACCGUCGGAUCUCGGAUCCAACGGCCCAGGGCGUCUCCCUCCUCCUGCCCAAGCUCCCUCCCAUGGCAGCCACCUACCGUGCCUGAGCUCCCGAGGACGCUGCCUCCUCCCGCGUUUGCGUCCCCGUCCUCCUGUGCGCCGCCGCCAUGGCCAGCCCCUGAGCCCGAGGCGCCCCUGUCUCCGUUCCUCGCCACUGUUCCUUGCCCCGCCUCCGCGCUGCCAGCUCGCCAUCUUGCGCUGCGCCCGUUCCGCGCCGCCCGAUGCUUGUUCGCUGCCGCCUGCCCAAAGCUCGCACCGCCCUCUAGCCUCCCGGAUCUGGCUCCUCUGGUCGCCUCCCGCCCGGAUCCGACCCCGGCGCCCCACCUGCUCGCCAGCCCUCGUGCCGUCAUGCGCCGUCGCCCUUCCUGGAGCGCCGCCAGCACCUUCCGGUCGGGGGGGACGAAGCCCCGUGGCCAGCGCCACCUGCUGCCUCGGCUGGGUCCCGAGCCGGCCCAGGCCAGGCGCCCCCGCAGUGGCCCAGCUGGGCACAGCUCCCCCAGCCCACCUCGCCGCCCCCAGCUGCAGCCGGCCUGCCUCUCCACCGACUUGGGCCUCAGCCCGCGAAGGUGAGCCCCAGCCCCUUCUAUGUUGCGCCCCGGGCGACAUUUAGUCGAGUUGGCCCGGUUAGCUAAUUAGGGAUUUUUCGGAAUUGUUUACAAUUCGAGAAAAAUAGACGAAUAUUUAAACCCCCGUAACUUUUAAACCGUUAGUCGGUUUGCGACGUGUAGUAUAUGGAUUUCGUGUAGUUUUGCGUGUAGAUCACGAUUUCACAACUUGCAUAUUUGUUUGACGUUGUUUAGCGUGUCGGAUGUCUAGAAUAACGUGUUGUUUUAAUAGGAUAUGUCACGUAUUUAAUUUUCGCGCAAGUCCGGAUUGCUCGGAUGCCGUAGUAUAAAUGCCCAUGUUUUAGGGACCAUUUUUCCAUGCAUAUUAGAGCGGUCAUUUGUAUUUUGCGUGUAGGGAAUUCCCUCUAGUUUANNNNNNNNNNUCAUAUUUGUUUGACGUUGUUUAGCGUGCCGGAUGCCUAGAAUAAUGUGAUGUUUUAAUAGGAUACGUCACAUAUUUAAUUUUCGCGCAAGUCCGGAUUGCUCGGAUGUCGUAGUAUAAAUGCCCAUGUUUUAGGGACCAUUUUUCCAUGCAUUUUAGAGCGGUCAUUUGUAUUUUGCGUGUAGGGAAUUCCCUCUAGUUUAUUUUCCCGUAUAUAGGUUAUUUUCCCGCAUUAAUGUGUGGCUUUAUUUUGUGUUGCAACCCCACAUAAUUUUAUAUGUUUCCGGGGUAGAAAAAUCUAUUGGAUUUUUCUGUGCAAUUUGUUUUAGCAUUAGAGCAAGUUAGUUCGUGUGAUAUUUUGCCAUAUUGCCCUUUUGUUUAAUUCGUAGGAUUUAUUCCGNNNNNNNNNNGUUAUAUGUUUCCGGGGUAGAAAAAUCCAUUGGAUUUUUCUGUGCAAUUAGUUUUAGCGUUAGAGCAAGUUAGUUCGUGCGAUAUUUUGCCAUAUUGCCCUUUUGUUUAAUUCGUAGGAUUUAUUCCGGGCUCCGUUUGAUUAAGUUGUCAACUAGGGAGUUGUUCUUGGUGUCUAGACUAGCCCCUGGUAUUUUUGGUUGCAAUAGAAAUGCAUGUUUAGGUGUGGUUUGAUAGCCCUCAAGUUGCUAGAAAUAGUGCUGAUUUGGAGGAGCUGAAAUAUUUCUAAGUCUGAGAUCUGUUAUAUUUUGUUGAUGUCUUGUCUUGCUUGUAUCUUGUGUUCUGUAGCUCUUUUGAGGUUGGUCCAAUUGAGUUAGUUGUACCCCUUGUGUUUCUCUAGCAUGCUGUAAAUUUUCAUGCCAUUUGGAGCCCUGUAGCUAUAGGUUUUGCUGCUGUCAAUAUAGCUUCAGAUCGAAAACUGCACUUUCAUGAGGUGUAAUUUUCACUAAGUCUGAAAUUGUGUGUGAGAUGCCAUUUUGAGUCUUCUUUCCCUAGUGAUCCAUGAUGCCAUGCUAGUUGUUGUUAGUUGUUUGUAGUAGUGCUUCUUGCCCUCUUUCGUGCCAUGCCUUGCUUUAGCAUAUCGGAGUUGUGUAGCCGUAGUUGUGGGGCGUAGGAAAUGCUAUGUGGCUGAUUUUGGCAGAUUGUAGUGAUUUCUUGUUUUGCUCGUAGUUUCCGAACCGUAGCUCCGAUUUGAUCGUGUACUGCAUGAAACUUGCUUAGAAUCUCAUGUAGUUUCAUUUCCCCUUGCUGGUUGUAUGUUUUGAAGUGCUCGUGACCGUCGUUGCACACAUAUUGCAUUCAUGCCAUCAUAUCUUGCGGUGCUUGUAACUUUUGAUCCGUAGCUCCGUUGGAAAUGAUCUCUAUGUGUAGAUUGCUUGAAAUGACGCGUAGAACCAUGAGANNNNNNNNNNCCUAUGUGAAACUUGCUUAGAAUCUCGUGUAUUUUCAUUUCCCCUUGCUGGUUGUAUGUUUUGAAGAGCUCGUGACCGUCGUUGCACACAUAUUGCAUUCACGCCAUCAUAUCUUGCAGUGCUUGUAACUUUUGAUCCGUAGCUCCGUUGGAGAUGAUCUCUAUGUGUAGAUUGCUUGAAAUGACGCGUAGAACCAUGAGAACUAUUUGUUUUGCUGUUUAACAACUAAUUAAAUGUGUUAACUCAGAUCUGGACAGAAUUGUAAAUUAACAUGUGAGGUCGUCUCGGAGAUGCUAUAUGUCAUUUCCGACCUUACUUAAAAUGUCUAGAUAGGUAGUUUAAUUUCCGCUUCACCUCUUGCAUGUUUGACAGCAUUAAUAUUGCCGUGUAGAUAACCGGGAGUGAACUAAAUAAUUCCUAUGUGGAGUUUCGUCAAUAUGCAACUCGUUGCAUAUUGAACUUCACUUAAUGUGUAGUGUUUGAUUGCGUGAAUUGUCAUGUCGUGACUUGCAUGUAUUCAGCAGCUCAUGUAUCAUUUGUGUUGUGCAUCGUCUGGUGAAUUCCGUGUGUUGAUUUGUGUUUCCGGUUUGCUUCGUCUCGAUAGAGUUCCGCAAUCGUGUCGGAUUGUGAGGACCCGUUCGACUACGUCGGUUCGUCUGCUUCACGGAGGGAUUCUUCUUCCAAGCGGGAUCUCAGGCAAGAUGAUCAUUUCCUCUGAUACCAUUACUAUCAUUUCCAUGCUAGUUUUAUCGUUUCUGUUGUUAUGUCUCAUUGGCUACCACUUGUUAAAUUUCAGCCUCUCCACAAUGCCAUGAAAACCUUCAACCUGUUCAACCUAGCAAACCACUGAUUGGCUAUGUUACUGCUUNNNNNNNNNNNNNNNNNNNNNNNNNNNNNNNNNNNNNNNNNNNNNNNNNNNNNNNNNNNNNNNNNNNNNNNNNNNNNNNNNNNNNNNNNNNNNNNNNNNNUCUAGUGUAUUGAGUUCAUGACGAACAGAGUAACGCCUUAAGCAAGAUGACAUGAUGUAGAGGGAUAAACUCAAACCAAUGAUGAAAACCCCAUCUUUUUACCCUUGAAGGCAACAGCAUGAUGCGUGCCUCGCUACCCCUUCUGUCACUGGUUGAGGUCACCGCACGGUAUGAACCCAAAACCAAGCACUUCCCCAUUGCAAGAAUCAUAGAUCAAGUUGGACAAACAAAACCCACAACUCGAAGAGAAUUACAAGGAUAUGAAAUCAUGCAUAUAAGAGAUCAGAAGAAACCCCAAUAAGUUUCAUAGAUAAUCUGAUCAUAAAUCCACAAUUCAUAGGAUCUCGACAAACACACCGCAAAAUAAGAUUACAUCAGAUAGAUCUCCAUGAAGAUCAUGGAGAACUUUGUAUUGAAGAUCCAAGAGAGAGAAGAAGCCAUCUAGAUACUAGCCAUGGACCCGUAGGUCUAUGGUGAACUACUCACGCAUCAUCGGAGAGGUCAUGGUGUUGAUGAAGAAGCCCUCCGUAUCCGNNNNNNNNNNUCCGGCAGGGCACCAGAACAUGCUCCAUAUGGGAUCUUGCGGAGACAGAAGCUUGCGGCGGCGGAAAAGUACUUUCGAUGAUCUCCUCAUUUUUUCUGGAAUUUUUGGGAAUAUAUAUGCAAAUGACCUAGGGCAGAGGAGGCCUAGGGAGCCCAUAAGCGUGGGAGGAGCGACCCCCCUGGCCGUGGUUAGGGGGCUUGUGGGGUCCCUGGUGGCCCCCUGCCUUGGUUCUCAAGUUCCCCGAUCGGCUUCUGUUUCGGAAAAGAUCUUUUUGGAAGUUUUGUUCCGUUUGGAUUCCGUUUAAAAUACUCCUCUGAAAAGGGUCAAAAACACAUUAAAAACAGGAACUGGCUCUUGGCACUGAUUUAAUAAGUUAGUGCGAGAAAAGAUAUAAAAGGCAUACAAAACAUCCAAAGUUUGGCAAGAUAAUUGUUGGGCAACGUAGCAUAAAUUCAAAAUUUUCCUACGCAUAUUCAGAUCUUCCUAUGGAGAGACCAGCAACGAGAGAGGGGUAAGAGCAUCAUCAUACCUUUGAAGAUCGCUAAGCGGAAGCGUUGCUAGAACGCGGUUGAUGGAGUCGUAAUCGCGGCGAUUCAGAUCGCGGUGUGAUUCCGAUCUAGUGCCGAACUACGACACCUCCGCGUUCAACACACGUGCAGCCCGGUGNNNNNNNNNNNNNNNNNNNNNNNNNNNNNNNNNNNNNNNNNNNNNNNNNNNNNNNNNNNNNNNNNNNNNNNNNNNNNNNNNNNNNNNNNNNNNNNNNNNNCUCCGGCAGGGCACCAGGACAUGCCCCAGAUGGGAUCUUGCGAAGAUAGAAGCUUGCGGCGGCGGAAAAGAAAUUGCGAUCGUCUCUUGAUUUUUUUGGGAAUAUUUGGGAAUAUAUAGGCGCAAGAUCUAGGUCAGGGGACCUCCAGGGGGGCCACAAGCCUGGAUGGUGCGGCCCCCCUGGCCUUGGGGUGGGGGCUUGUGGGGCCCCUGGGGAUCUUCUGGCUUGGCUCCCAAGUUCUCCGAUCUUCUUCCGUUCCAAGAAAAAUAUUUUCGGGGAUUUUCUUCCGUUUGGACUCCGUUUCAAAAUCUCCUCUGAAAGGGGUCAAAAACAUGGAAAAAACAGGAACUAGCACUUGGUACUGAGUUAAUAAGUUAGUCCCAUAAAAUAAAUAAAAAGCAUGCAAAACAUCCAAAGUUUGACAAGAUAAUAGCAUGAAACCAUCAAAAAUUAUAGAUACGUCGGAGACGUAUCAACCUCAAGGUUCUACUACUCGGGUGUUAUGAUGUGAUUUUGGGAAUUGACUGGCUGUCUUUUCAUAGCCCGAUGCUGGUCCAUUGGUUGGAAUAGAAAAUGGAUUUUUAGUAUCAAGGGAAACCCAUCCACCUCUCUGGAGCCCGAGCAGAUGUCACUCGUUACGACCUGAUUUCCGACGCAGAAUUCCACAUCAUGCUCGAGCGUGAUGCGAUCACGCGAGUUGUUCAAAUAUGUGCCAAUCCCCAGGACCUAGAGGAGCCGCCAAUUCCAGCGACUUUGGGUAAGCUGAUUGAACAGUUUGGCGUCUUGUUUGAAGAGCCUCAGGGAUUUCCACCAUAGCGCUCAUUUGACAAUUCUAUUCCCAUGGUUCUUGGUGCUAGACAGGUUAAUCUGCAUCCCCACAGGCAUAGCCCAACACAAAAGGAUGAAGUAGAGAAGUAGUUGGCAGCCAUCCCACAACAAGGUAUUAUUCAGCCAAGUGUCAGUCCAUUCGCAUCCCUAGCUCUCUUAGUGCACAAGAAAGACCUCACUUGGAUGUUUUGUGUGGAUUACCGGCACCUCAACGCUGUCACAAUCAAGAACCGCUACCCUCUGCAUGUGAUUGAAGAGCUCCUGGACGAGCUAGCAGGAUCUCGUCUAUUUACCAGCUUAGAUCUCCAUGCAGGGUGGCAUCAAAUCUCGAUGAUGGUUGAGGAUGAGCAUAAGAAAACGUCCAAAACACACCAUGGGCACUUCGAGUUCAAGGUCAUGUCGUAUGGCGUGACUGGAGGACCAGCAACCUUCCAAGGCGGCAUGAACAUUGUCCUAGCUCCACUACUCCAGAAAGGCGUGCUGGUAUUUAUCGAUGACAUAUUGGUUUACAGCGCAGAUGAGGAUACACAUAUUAGUUUGUUACGCCAAGUCUUCCAAUUACUCAAGGACCACAAUGUGAAGAUCAAGCACAGUAAGUGUUCCUUUGCUUGACCCAAACUGUUGUACUUGGGGCACGAGAUCAGUGCUGAUGGGGUUCGCACCAACCAAAAGAAUAUUGCAGCUAUUCAAAAUUGGCUAGUCCCUACAAAUGUCAAAGGCGUGCGGAGAUUUCUGGGUCUGGCUGGGUACUAUCACAAGUUUGUCCGUGGUUUUGCUGUCCCCUACCGGCCACUGACCGACCUCCUCAAGAAAGGGGUCAUUUUCCGCUGGACUGAGUUGGAAGAAGGUGCUUUCCGUGCUCUUCAACAAGCGCUGAUCACGACACCGGUGCCGGCCUUACGAAAGUUCACCAGACCCUUUCAGCUGGAUACUCAUGCAUUUGACUAUGGCAUUGGGGCGGUGUUAUCUCAGGAGAAGCACCGCAUCGGAUACUUGAGUCGUGCCUUGGGCCCCCAUAACAGGAUAUUAAGCACGUAUGUGAAGAAAGGGUUGGCAAUCUUGUUGGCCGUCGACCACUGGAGAACCUAUUUGCAAAAUGAUGAAUUAACUAUACAUAUGGACCAACGAAGCUUGAUUCACCUUGAAGAUCGGCGGCUGGCCACCCCUUGGCAGCAAAACAUCAUGGCCAAGAUGUUGGGCCUAAGGUAUCACAUUGUGUACAAGAAAGGUACAGAUAACCGAGCUGCAGACUCUGUGUACCGGGUACCCGGACCUCCCCAGGGCGACCUCGCAGCCAUCACGACAGUUGUACCAGCUUGGCUGGAAGCAGUCCAGCACGGAUAUGAGGAUGAACCCGCAGCUCACGCUCUGUUGACUCGGUUGGCCACUCAGAACAACCAACCAGAUGGUUACUCACUCCAGGAUGGCAUCAUUCGACAACAUGGCCGAGUUUGGUCGGGGGGCAAUGUUGAUCUACAGAAACAAGUUUUGGAUGCUCUGCAUACAUGCGCUAUUGCGGUCUUUCAGGGUUCAAUGCUACUUACAAAAGAGUGCAUCGAGUGUUCACAUGGCCAGGACUGAAACAUCAUGUGAAUCUUUUCGUCGAGGCGUGCCAAGUCUGCAAGCAAGCUAAGCCCGAGCAUGUGCGCUAUCCGGGUCUUCUCAAACCCCUUCCGAUACCUACACAAGCUUGGCAACUGAUCACAAUGGAAUUUGUGGAGGGCCUGCCUCGUUCUUGUGGCCGCAACUCAAUAUUGGUGGUCGUUGACAAAUUCUCUAAGUAUGCUCACUUCAUUGCCUUGUCUCACCUCUUUAUGGCUUUUCAAGUGGCGCAUGCCUUUGUGGCACACAUCUACAAACUUCAUGGGCUGCUGGAAUCCAUUGUCUCUAACCGUGACCCAAUAUUCACGAGCCUGCUUUGGAAGGAGUUGUUUCGUCUUACUCACAACAACUUGCGGAUGAGUACAGCACGUCACCCUCAAACAGAUGGAAAAACGGAGCGAGUCAACCAAUGCUUGGAGACGUUCUGUGUUGUUUCGUCCAUGCGUGCCCUACUAAAUGGUAUGCCUGGUUGCCCCUGGCUAAGUUUUGGUAUAAUACUUCCCCCACUCCACCUUGGGCAUCAAUUCCUUUAAGGUCCUCUACGGUCAUGCGCCUCGUCACUUCGGCAUCAUCGACCCCAUGGCCUGUGCAUCUCUGGAUUUGGUGGACUGGUUGCGGGAUCGUGAGUAGAUGACAGCUCUGAUUCGUCAGCAUCUUCUCAAGACGCACCAAACUAUGAAGGACUCUACAGAUAAACGCCGGUCUGAUCGAGUGUUUGUUGUCGAUGACUGGGUUUUCCUCAAGCUUCAACCAUAUGUGCAGCGUUCAGUCACGACAAUGCUCAAUCAUAUACUGGCUUUCCGCUACUUUGGGCCCUCCAAGAUUCUGCAGCGAGUGGUUGCCAUUGCAUACAAGCGACAACUUCCAGAGUCAGGCACAAUACACCAGUCUUCCAUGUCUCCCAACUGUGUCAAGCUCUUCCCCCGAUGGAGCAAGUUGAGCAACAGCUUCCAUCGAACUCGCGCGCCAGCUCGCAACCGGAGGAGAUCCUGGAGCGUCGUUCGAUACACCGUGGUAACCAGGAGGUCUCGCAGGUUGUGGUACACUGGACUGAUCAACCGUCGGGGCUCGCCACCUCGGAGGAUGACGAGGAACUUCGUCACCACUUUACUCGGGUGCCAGCUUGGGGUCAAGCUGUAUCUUAAAGGGGGAGAAUGUUACACCCUCUGCCUCCCACGGCCCACCAACACACAAGGCCACGCCCUCAGCAACCACCAUCGGUGAUGGGCCGGAGCGACCCCGACGCCAGAUCAAGCCCAGUGGCAGAUACUCGACCCAAUAAUGGAACAUGCGGCGCUAGGUUAAAAGGUCCCGUCCCCCUCCUGCGAGAGGUGUGGAAGAAGUUAUCGAUGACGGGGGUUGCUUUCUAUCUCUCGGAUGCCCCUUCUCUCUCACUGAACCCCAAUCCGGCUGAAUCUUGUAUGAAUAUGUGCUUGAGAGUGUUUUAUCUAGUGGGAUCCUAAGUAAAGUUGACUCCUCGUUCCGAAACAUAUCUCUCAUAGCCCAGAAGAUCAACGUCUCUAGGUGAAUGUUUCAGAGCACAAAGAGAUUUCUCGCAAACUUCCAUAGGUUCCGACUAAGAAUCACAAUAGAUAUAAGUCUCAAAAUACUUAUACCCUCUUAAUAGUAAUGUGGUCAUAUGACUCAAAUAAGAUAAAGAAGAACAACAAAGCAAAUGAUAUGUCUUUGCUUCACCUUCAAUUUUCUCGACUGUAGCCAUUUCUUCUUGGACACACCGAAUACCAAUUGCUUUAGUUUAGCAAUAUUUUUGAAGGUCAACUCUAUCAUGCAAUCUUCUCUAUAUAGUUUAUUCUUGAAGUGUAUCUCUAUUCUUUUCAACGCACAUACUUCUCGGUGAAGUCAAUCCAAACUUCUCGUCAAAAUGUAGCAUACUUUCCGAUACAUUGGAGACAAUUUAUCUUUGUGCGCACUAGCAAAGAAAUCAGUCCUUUACUUCUUUUCACAACAAUUUGCAAAACCCAAGGGGGCAAGACAUUGCACCAGCACGUACACAUGACUACGUAAAACACAUGUGGUGAUGGCCGGGAGGCACCACGAAUUGGUGUCAAACACAUAGUCAUACUCAUUUUAAAGCUAAGUGCUCAGAUCUAUACUAUUCCAAGGGUUGGUGAGGUUUAGAUUUCAUCAUCAUAGUAAUAAAGCUUGGCUUGUUUAUUUUUGGUAUCUAAAAUUUUGAAGGCUAUAAUAAAACCUCGUGACACAAAGAAAGUUACACAAAAUGGUUAUCAUGUAUUGCCAACGUGGAAUGCAUAAGAGCUUAGCAUUUCCUGAAGUUUACUAUUUCUUGAAAACUAUAAUAUGCUUUCUAUUUUAUCAUUCAUGACGUCGACUAAUUUUAGGUAAUAAGUCUAAUAUUUCUUGGCAACCCUGGUAUGAUUUUGGUUAUAUAAAAUUGAAUAAUGCCAAGCUAUACUGCCUGAUUGUAUUUACUAGUCAAAGUGCACGCCAUGUUAGGAUAAUAAUAAUAGAAUCGUAUAUCAUUCCUAGUUGCAAUUACUGCAGAGUGAGACAUGUAAUGAACACCAUAAAAGCACAAUUACUAUGAUGCAUUCAAUUUAAUUUAUCGUCUAAAUCGGCUAAAAUAUCUUAAACCUUUGUACCUCAUCUAUCUAUCAUAGUCGCUUCAUCUCCCUUUUUAUAUUCUUCUUAAUAAAAUUUUUGGGAAAUCAACAAUCAUUACCAAGGAUGGCCUUUUUCUUUAAGUUAUUUUUUGCUAGGCUUGUCGUGUCAUUAUAUUCACUUGUAUGACAGGUGGUAAACUCAACCGAUACAUUGUUGCUCAAAUAUGCAUUGCGAGUGCAUGAUAACUAUAUCUUCAUAGGGAGAGGUGGCAUUUUAGAAAAAAAAUGAUCAAAACAUUUGAUGAACCUUCAACAUACUUGAAUCACAAACUACAAUUACUCUUGGUUUCUGAAGCCUUUGACUUGAAGACAAUUACUCUUCAGCAUUCAAGCCAGCACCUAACCCUCUAAAGAGUUAGCAGCUCUUAAUAGUAACAUGCAUAAGAACUCUUAACUUAGAUACACUAUGAUGCUCAAUCACUAUCUAAGUUUACGUUUUGACUUUCUCUUAAUGGAUUUUACUUGAAUCUCUUAGAAAGGGGUGCUCGAACAAUCUUCUCGGAAUUUCAAGCGAAGCAGCCAACGAACAACGUCACAGCAACUAGCUAUAUAUAGCCGCAACCUUCCUAGAAUGAAAAUUACCAUUUAGGACAAACCGUCGAACCAAUGGCCAAUCGAUAUGUUUUUAAUGGUUGGAUUUUUAGCGCACGACAACUAUACUUGAGGAGUAAGUAAAGUUGACUCCUCGUUCCAAAACAUAUCUCUCACAUCCCAGAAGAUCAACGUCUCAGGCUGAAUGUUUUAGAGCAAAAAGAAAUUUCUCACAAACUCCCAUAGGUUUCGACUAAGAACCACAAUAGAUAUAAGUCUAAAAAUACUCAUACUCCUCUUAAUAGUAAUGUUCUCAUAUGACUCAAAUAAGAGAAAGAAGAAGAACGAAACAAAUGCUAUGUCUUCGCUUCGCCUUCAAUCUUCUCGGCUGUAGCCAUUUCUUCUCGGACACACCGAAUACCAAUUGCUUCAGUUUAACAAUAAUUUUGAAGGUCAAUUGUGUCAUGCAAUCUUAUCUAUAUAGUUUAUUCUUGAAGGAUAUCUCUCUUCUCUUCAACGCAGAUACUUCUCGGUGAAGUCAAUCCAAACUUAUCGUCAAAAUGUAGCAUUCUUUCCGAUACAUUGGAGACUAUUUAUCUUUGUGUGCGCUCGCAAACAAAUCAGUCCUUUAGUGCUUUUGACAAAAAAAAUCAAAACCCAAGGGGGCAAGACAUUGCACCAGCAUGUACACAUGACUACGUAAAUCACAUGCGGUGAUGGCAGGGAGACACCACGAAUUGUUGUCAAACACAUAAUCAUACUUAUGUUAAAUCAAAGAGCUCAAAUCUAUAUUAUUCCAAGGCUUGGUGUGCUUUAUAUUUCAUCCUCGUAGUAAUAAAGCUUGGCUUGUUUGUUUUUGGUAUAUAAAAUUUUGAAGGCUAUAAUAAAACCUUGUGACACAAAGAGAGUUAACAAAAGUGGUUAUCAUGUAUUGCCAACGUGGAAUGCAUAAGAGCUUAUCAUUUCAUGAAGUUUACUAUUUCUUGAAAAAUCUAACAUGAUUUCUACUUUAGCAUUCAUGAUGUCCACUAAUUUUAGGAAAUAAGUAUGAUAUUUCUUGGCAACCCUGGUAUGAUUUUGGUUAUAUAAAAUUGAAUANNNNNNNNNNAUGAUUGCAUAUACUAGUCAAAGUGCACGCCAUGUUAGGAUAACAAUAAUAGAAUCAUGUAUCAUUCCUAGUUGCAAUUACUGGAGAGUGAGACAUGUAAUGAACACCAUAAAAGCACAAUUACUAUGAUGCAUUCAAUUUAAUUUAUCGUCUAAAUCGGCUAAAAUAUCUUAAACCUUUGUACCUCAUCUAUCUAUCAUAGUCGCUUCAUCUCCCUUUUUAUAUUCUUCCUAAUAAAAAAAUGGGAAAUCAACAAUCAUUACCAAGGAUGGCCUUUUUUAUAAGUUAUUUUUUACUAUGCUUGUCGUGUCAUUAUGUUCACUUGUAUGGCCGGUGGUAAACUCAAUCGAUACAUUGUUGCUCAAAUAUGCAUUGCAAGUGCAUGAUAACUAUAUCUUCAUAUGGAGAGGUGACAUUUUAGAAAAAAAAAUGAUCAAAAUAUUCAACGAACCUUCAAGAGACUUGCAUCAUGAACUACAAUUACUCUUGGUUGUUGAAGCCUUUGACUUGAAGACAAUUACUCUUUGACAUUCAAGCCGGCACCUAACCGUCUAGGGAGUUAGCAGCUCUCAAGAGUAACAUCAUAAGAACUCUUAACUUAGAUAGACUAUGAUGGUUGAUACGUCUCCAACGUAUCUAUAAUUUUUUAUUGUUCCAUGCUAUUAUAUUAUAUGUUUUGGAUGUUUUAUAUGCAUUUAUAGGUUGUUUUUUUAUUAUUUUUGGGACUAACCUAUUAAUCUAGAGCCUAGUGCCAGUUUCUGUUUUUUCCAUGUUUUUGAAUAUUUCACAUAAGGAAUAUUAAACGGAGUCCAAACGGAAUAAAAUCACCAAAAAGAUUUUUCUUGGACCAAAAGACAUGCAACACACUUGGAGUAGGAGCAAGGCAGUUGCCAGGAGGCCACAAGCCUGUAGGGAACGCCCUGGGGGAUCGUGCCCGUGGCUUGUCGGCCCCCUGCAGGUCUCCUAACCCUAAUUCUUGGCCUAUAAAUUCCAAAUAUUCCAUAAACGUUAAAAAAGAGCAACGAAAAUACUUUUACGCUGUCGGGAGCCUCUGUUCCCGAGAGAUCCAAUUUGGGAGCCUUUUUUGGUAAUCUGCCGGAGAGGGAAUGGAUCACGGAGGGCAUCUACAUCAAGUCCAUUGCCUCUCCGAUUAUGUGUGAGUUGUUCACCACGGACCUACGGGUCCAUAGCUAGUAGCUAGAUGGCUUCUUCUCUCUCUUCGAUCUUCAAUACCAAGUUCUUCAUGAUCUUCAUGGAGAUAUAUCCGAUGUAAUACUCUUUUGCGGUGUGUUUGUUGAGAUCCGAUAAAUUGUGAGUUUAUGUUCAGAUUAUCCAUGAAUAUUAUUUGAGUCUCUUCUGAAUUCUUAUAUGCAUGAUUUCAUAUCUUUGCAAGUCUCUUCGAAUUAUUCGUUUGGUUUGGCCAACUAGAUUGGUAAUUCUUGCAAUGGGAGAAGUGCUUAGUUUUGGGUUCAAUCUUGCGGUGUCCUCACCCAGUGAGAGUAGGGGUAGUGAGGAACGUAUUUUAUUGUUGCCAUCAAGGGUAAAAAGAUGGGGUUUUCAUCAUAUUGCCUGAGUUUAUCCCUCUACAUCAUGGCAUCUCAGUUAAUGUGUUACUCUGUUCUUCAUGAACUUAACACUCUAGAUACACGCAGGAGUUGGUCGAUGUGUGGAGUAGUAGUAGUAGAUGCAUAAUCGUUUUGGUCUACUUGAUACAGACGUGAUGCCUAUAUGCAUAAUCAUUGCCUUGGAUAUCUUCAUAAUUAUUUGCUUUUCUAUCAAUUGCUCGACAAUAAUUUGUUCACCCACUGCAUUAUUUCCUUUAUGAGAGAAGCCUCUAGUGAAACCUAUGGCCCCGGGGUCUAUUUUCCUUAUUAUAUUUUCAGAUCUAUAAAUCAAAAAUAUCAAAAAUACUUUGCUGCAAUUUAUUUACUUUAGUCUUACUUUCAGAUCUAUGAAUAUUUUAUAUCUCUCUAUCAAGGGAUUGGCAACCCCUUUAUAGCGUUGGGUGCAAGUGUUUGUUUAUUUAUGUAGGUACUACUAUUGGAGCCUCGCUUGUUCCUCCUCCUAGAUUGAUACCUUGGUUCUCAACGAACCGAGGGAAAUACUUAUGUACUUUGCUACAUCACCCUGUCCUCUCCAAGGGAAAACCAACGCAAGCUCAAGAGGUAGCAAUGCUCAAUCACUACCUAAGUUUCCGUCUUGACUUUGUUAAUGGAUUUUACUAGUAUCUCUUAGAAAGGGGUGCUUGAACAAUCUUGUUGGAAUUUCAAGCGAAGCAACCAACGAACAACGUCACAACAGCUAGCUAUAUAUAGCCGCAACCUUCCUAGAAUGAAAAUUACCAUUUAGGACAAAUUAUCGAACCAAUGGCCUUCUAUACAUUUUUAAUGGUCGGAUUUUGAGCACACGAUAACUAUACUUGAGGAGUAAGUAAAGUUGACUCCUCGUUCCGAAACAUAUCUCUCACAUCCCAGAAGAUCAAUGUCUCUGGCUGAAUGUUUUAGCACACAAAGAGAUUUCUCUCAAACUCCCAUAGGUUUCGACUAAGAAUCACAAUAGAUAUAAGUCUCAAAAUACUUAUACCCUCUCAAUAUUAAUAUGGUCAUAUGACUCAAAUAAGACAAAGAAGAACAACGAAACAAAUGCAAUGUCUUCGCUUCACCUUCAAUCUUCUUGACUGUAGCCAUUUCUUCUUGGACACACUAAAUACCAAUUGCUUUAGUUUCACAAUAUUUUUUAAGGCCAACUUUGUCAUGCAAUCUUCUCUAUAUUGUUUCUUCUUGAAGCAUAUCUCUCUUCUCUUCAACGCACAUACUUCUCGGUGAAGUCAAUCCAAACUUCUCGCCAACUGUAGCAUUGUUCCCGAUACAUUGGAGACUAUUUAUCUUUGUGCGCACUAGCAGACAAAUAAGUCUUUUACUACUUUUCACAACAACUUCCAAAACCCAAGGGGGCAAGACAUUGCACCAACACGUACACAUGACUACGUAAAUCACAUGUGGUGAUGGUCGGGAGGCACCACGAAUUGCUAUCAAACACACGGUCAUACUCAUGUUAAAGCCAAGUUCUCAAAUCUAUACUAUUCCAAGGGUUAGCGAGGUUUAGAUUUCAUCGUCGUAGUAAUAAAACUUGGCUUGUUUAUUUUUGGUAUCUGAAAUUUUAAAGGCUAUAAUAAAACCUCGUGACACAAAGAAAGUUACACAGAGUGGUUAUCAUGUAUUGCCAACAUGGAAUGCAUAAGAGCUCAGCAUUUCAUGAAGUUUACUAUUUCUUGAAAACUCUAAUAUGCUUUCUAUUUUAGCAUUCAUGGCGUCUACUAAUUUUAGGUAAUAGGUCUAAUAUUUAUUGGCAACCCUGGUAUGAUUUUGGUUAUAUAAAAUUGAAUAAUGCAAANNNNNNNNNNGUGAUUGUAUUUACUAGUCAAGGUGCACGCCAUGUUAGGAUAAUAAUAAUAGAAUCAUGUAUCAUUCCUAGUUGUAGUUACUGCAGAGUGAGACAUGUAAUGAAAACCAUAAAAGCACAAUUACUAUGAUGCAUUCAAUUUAAUUUAUCUUCUAAAUCGGCUAAAAUAUCUUAAACCUUUGUACCUCAUCUAUCUAUCAUAGUUGCUUCAUCUCCCUUCUUAUAAUGUUCUUAAUAAAAAAUUGGGAAAUCAACAAUCAUUACCAAGGAUGGCCUUUUUCUAUAAGUUAUUUUUGCUAGGCUUGUCGUAUCAUUAUAUUCACUUGUACAACCGGUGCUAAAUGCAACCGAUACACUGUUGCCAUAUUAUGCAUUGCAAGUGCACCAUAACCAUAUCUUCAUAGGGAGAGGUGACAUUUUAGAAAAAAAUUACCAAAAUAUUCGGCAUGGAAAAGCAUCACUUGAAUAGAUGGAUGUCAAUUUGUAACAAAUAUUGAAAUAAAGAGCUAGGCCCAUGAUUUUUGUUUGGUGUUAUAAACCAUUUUCUAAUCUUUUUAAGCAUAUCCCUCAAGUUUUGCGUGUUAGGAUAAAGAAAUUGCCCCUUUCACCUAACAGAACAAACCUUCGAAGCCUUGAUUAUAGUGUUUUGAUAUCCUCGACAAAACAAUAGUAUGAGACCCUUGUUGACACUUCAAUAAUAUGACCAUACGACAGUGACAUGAUCAUAGAAUUACGACACUGUUAAGAUAAAAAAUAAUAUUACAUGCCAUCAUGAUUCCAAAAACCUCGUCCAGAAUGGUAAGUAUAUAGACCACAAACCAUACCUUUUUUAGAAAGCCCAACCUUGAAAUUCUAAGCUCUAGCAGACUUGACAUACAAUAUAGUGGCAUUCUCUUGUUUUAAAACAUUAAUUUAAUUAUUCUCCUCAUAGUAUAUAUAUAAACAUUAGUAUGUCGAUAUUUGUAAAUUAAAAUCCUACAAUUCAUCUAUUUUGAGCUUUUUAUGAGUCUCGCUAAAGAAACUAAAAAAGGAAACGCCUGUGGCCGGGCGCGCGACCCGCGCAUGCAGUUGAUUAGGCAUCCAACUUUUUUCUCGUCUAAAUUUGCUGCAACCAAUGUUUAUAUUUGCUAAAAGCGUUUUCUAUUUGCUACAUUUAACCAGUAAAAAGCUGCAUAUACGUUUGGUUGCAGCUUCAGUUCAUCGGAUUUUUUGUUACAACCGGUGUUUUUUACUUUUGCUACAACCGUGUUAAUUUUUGCUACAACCGAUAUCAUUUUUACUGCAAUCGUUUAUUAAAAAAUUGCAUACACGUUUAUCAGAGUUGCAACCCGAAUUCACCGGAUUGUUUUUACUACAACCCACAUUUUGUUUUGAUACCAUGCAUCAUCGGCGUAUUUUUUUACUAUGAUCACGUUUAUAUUUUUUGCUACAACCAUAUUUUUAUUGCAAUCGUGACCGAUGUUUGCUGCAUCGUGAUCAAAAUUUGCUACAUCGAGGUAUUUUGCUGCAAGAACAGUUUUGAUGGUGCGGUCUGCGUGCAACCGACCGAAAGUUUCGAAGCGCCGACGCAUAGCGCUGCCCAACUAAAAAGCCCGAGGCCGAAUAGCCCCGCCAUAUCUAUGUGUAACCAAAAUCACAAUCCACAAGCACUCACAACAUUUGCUCAAAGAAAAAAAAAACAUUUGCAAGCUCUCAUCGUCCUAUUGGUUGCUCUCCCUCUCACACGGAUCGCCGAGGCCCACCAACGGCUGGCGUCCGUCGACCCCAAGACGCCAGCGCUCCAGAUGGAAGCACCGCCCCCCAACCUCCAUACUCGCCCGGAGAACAAACACAGAACAGAAACACACAGAAAGCACAAACGCACACUCCACCGCACAAAACAAGCCUAAAAAAAACCCCGAGGAAAUCGACAGGGAGAAAAGGGGGCGAAAAAAAGGAGAGCAAAGAGGAAAAGCUUCGGAGCUCUGGAUCGGCGAUGGAGUCGGUAGCGAAGGCGCCGAAGAAGGCCGGCGCGGCCGGGCGCCGGGGCGGCGGCGGGCCGAAGAAGAAGGCCGUCUCACGCUCCGUCAAGGCCGGCCUCCAGUUCCCCGUGGGCCGCAUCGGGCGCUACCUCAAGCAGGGCCGCUACGCCAAGCGCGUCGGCAGCGGCGCCCCCGUCUACCUCGCCGCCGUCCUCGAGUACCUCGCCGCCGAGGUGGGCCGCGCGCGCCAGCCGCGAGACUGGCUCCGAUUCGCCUCUGUUUUACUUUCUAUUUUUUGUCUGGCAGCUCCUGGAGCUGGCGGGGAACGCGGCGCGGGACAACAAGAAGAACCGGAUCAUCCCGCGGCACGUGCUGCUCGCGAUCCGCAACGACCAGGAGCUCGGGAAGCUGCUGGCCGGCGUCACCAUCGCCUACGGAGGUGUCCUGCCCAACAUCAACCCCGUGCUGCUUCCCAAGAAGCCCGCCGCGGCGGCUGCCAAGGAGCCCAAGGCGGGCACCACCAAGUCUCCCAGGAAGUCCCCCGCCAAGAAGGCGGCCGCCGCUUAGGCCCGGCACUCGCUAUGCCGGUGCCCCAUCUCACCCUCUCCUCCCUCUUCUCUGUUUCUCUGUCUGUCUGGGUUGAACCGUAACGCACCAAGUUGUCGUCGUCGUCGUUGCUGCAUGCCGUCGUUGCCAUGGAUCGAUUGCUGCUUGUUUGUACUUAUUUUGCGUGGCUUCCGCAUAGGUGCCAAUCAGCUUAUACUCUGUAACCUGAUUAACACCGCUGUAUGUUCGUAUAAGUUCGUAGGUCAAGGGAGAGAGGGAGGGGAAGGGAAACUGUGAAUGCCUCUUUGUAAUAAAAUUGUGAAGAUG